rnacentral:lncRNA from 1 species
UGAUUUAAUUUAACCAAUUCGACUUUUGGGUUUUAUUUUUUCUGGGUUGCUGUUAAAUUUUGUGAUGGGGUUUUGCGAUUUUGGGUCGUUUGUGAUGAACUUUUUGACUCGCGGGUUUGAUUGAUUGCCUUGCAAUUGUGGGUUUAAUUCUUGAAUUUACUUGGAGGCCCUGCAAUUUUUUUUAUAAGUUAUCUGGGUAAUCUGGUGCUUUACUUCUUGGUUAUCAACUACAUGAUAUGUUUUUUCACAGUUUACUCUUCUGCACUAGUGGUUUAUCUGUUUCUUUACCGAGUGUUUUGAUCACUCACUAAAAAGCUUACAGUCUCAGCAAAAGCUGAUUGUUUCGGUUAAAGUGUCUUCUUUUUUGUUGGCAUUGAACUUUCAAGAGCUUUCGCAAUGUAAAUAAAUCCACUUGUGAUCGUCACCACCUGUUUAGUUCCAUGCGGAAAUGUGCAUCGAACUUGUUAUGAUCGCUGUUAUUGUUAUUGUCACAAUUACCAUCUGCAAAGUUGUAAGCUUUCAGUAUGGUGUUGCGUACUUGCUGUUAAUUAAAAAUACUGGUGUUGGUUUGACCUUUUAUCGUUACCCUCGCCACUCGUAUUAUUGCAAUAUAUUGCAUUGUUUUCAAUUUUAAGAAUACCAAGUUUACAUAUGCAACGGAAGUUGCAAAGAAAAAUAAAUUCUUAUAGGUAUGUAUGUUAAUAUUUUAGUUGCAGUAGUAUCGAACAAUUUCAGCUUCCAUGAAGUAAUUUUUCUCCCCUAGGGAGCUUGUUUACCAACAAAGAUCAAUUAAGAAUUUUUUUUUAUAAUGGUAUUGAAAUUGACUUGGUUGGUAAUGGAAACAGUUAAGUUUUGAAGAAUGAGAUGGAAGAAUGAGUUAAGCUGUAUUAUCUGUAGUAAUUUUACAGUAGAUGAUUAUUAGUUCCCUUUUCUUAUGUCUUAUGUACCAUUGCAUGAUUGUAAAUUUGUACUACUUUCUGUAGGGUGCUUUGGACAUGGACAGUGAUGCUGGGAACUCAUCUAGUGUAGUCGGAUCAAAAGAUGAUGUUGAUCUCCUAAAGAGUUCAACAUCAGGAUCAACCAAUUCAAAUGUUGUCAAAACUUCCAAUUGUUUUUCAUCUAAUGAUGAUGAUAUGAGCAUGGACGAUGAAGAAGACGACGACGACGAUGAUAAUGACUAUGAUUACGAUGACAACGAUGGUUUUCUGUAUGAUGUUGGUGAUGAUUUGCAAUCUCAGUUUGAUAAUGUGGACUUGCCUCCUGGUGUAGAAGCAACUCUUCCCUGGUUGAAUGAUCCUUCACCGAGUGAGAAACCAUCCACUAAGACGCUAGCUAUUUCAGAUCUACCACCAUGUAGUUCAACUGUUCAUUGUGAAGCAAGUUCAACUGUUCCUUCUGAGGCAAGUUCUACUAAAGAACCGGCAGACAGCAAUGACGACAGUAUCAUGCAAACGUCUCAACAGUUUAAGCAAUUUGAUAUGGUGGAAGAUUUCUCGGAUCACCACUUUAGCCGCAUGGGAUUUUCAGAUGGGCAGGUGAGUUAGUUAGUUGAACUUGUGCUUCACACCUGUCCCCUCCCGAACAUUUAUGUGUGAGCAUGUGCGUGUCCACAUCUCUCUUUAUAGAUGUUCCCUGGUCUGGCUGUGUGACACAGGCUUGAGUGCACAAAUAAACUCUGCAUGUGCAAAUUGUGGAGUGUGUAUGUCUGUUUUUGUGAAUAUGGACUAAUCUGUGUUUGUUUCUUGAUAGCCACCCAAGUCUUGGGCUAAGCAAAUUCAGGAUGAGUGGAAGAUUUUGGAGAAGGACUUACCGGGUGAGUUCUACCGAUUCACUAUGCUUGAUUAUACAGGUGUUGGAAUAUUCUUGUGUUUUUAGGUUCUCUGUAGUGCUACCGUUGUUUUCCCCAUUAGAAACUUCACCUAUUUUUCAAAAUCAGUUCCUUUCCUUUUUGGUCAUGUCAUGGCAUUAGUUUAGUAGGUUGGCUCAUAUCCUCUCUCAUUUCAAUUUUUCUUGCGCAGACACUAUAUUUGUCAGGGUUUAUGAAGCUAGAAUGGAACUUCUGAGGGCAGUAAUUAUAGGACCUCCGGGCACUCCCUACCAUGAUGGUCUUUUUGUCUUUGAUUGUCUCUUCCCCACUAACUAUCCUAAAUCACCACCGGUGUGUAUUUGGUGCUAUUGCAUUGGUGCUUUAUUUUAUAUUUUGUCUAUUGUAGAUAAUUUUGAUUUUCUUUUGUCAGAUGGUAUACUACUAUUCAGGUGGUCUUCGAUUGAAUCCAAAUUUGUACGAGUGUGGGAAAGUUUGCCUCAGUCUCUUAGGCACUUGGAGUGGCAAACAAAAUGAAAAUUGGGUCCCAGGGCAAUCAACAAUGCUACAAGUUUUAGUCUCUAUACAAGCUCUUAUUUUGAAUGCAGAGCCCUUCUUCAAUGAGCCUGGUCAUGAGAGAACGUAUGUUGGAGCAGAAGGGCGAAGGCAUUCCCAAAAGUACAAUGAGGAUACCUUUAUUCUAUCUCUAAAGACAAUGAUAUAUACACUAAGGAGGCCGCCUAAGGUAUGAUUGCAGCAACCAUCUCCUUUACAGUACACUCAUCUUCUAUUUGUAUUAACAUUUUCCGUUGUUUCUUGAUGGAGGGUUGAUUUACUAGAAUGAUGAAGUAGAUUGUCUCUGCUGAACUUUGACUUGCUACCAGAACAGUAGGGAAUUUUCUUUCUCACAUUUGUGCUUUGUGGGGUUGAAACAAGUAGCCUUGCUGUAUAAACACCGGUUCUGAUCGAGUAUUAUUGUAGAAUUUAGUUGUGCUAGGAUGGUUUUCUCUGCUUGCUGUUGCUGUUAGAAAACUACGCUGCUACCUAACCCCCCAAGUUCCAGAAUGAAUCUUAGCAGCUUAGAUGAAAAAAGUGAAUAGGGAAGUCAGUUUGUAUGCUAUCUUUUGUUUUGAGAGGCACUUUCUGUUUUGUAUCUUAUGUUUGUAGGUCCGUCACCUAACCAAGUGAGUUUUCUUGCAGUAUUUUGAGGACUUUGUCUUGGGCCAUUUUCGCGAUCGUGCACACAAUAUUCUGGCAGCAUGUAAAGCAUAUACUGAGGGCAUUUUGGUAGGGUCUGAUAUCACGUCCCAGAAUGCAGAAAAAAGUGGCUCCUCACAAUUCCGGGCAACUGUAGCUAAGAUGAUGAAUACACUCGUUACACAUUUCACCAGAAAUGGAUCAACCGACUGUGACGAGUUUCGAGUUGGAGCCUGAAUCACAUUUGAUUGGCAGCUGACUUGAUGGGAUUGGGAAGGUAAUAAGAUUUAAGAUAAAUUAGCGAGGUGAAACGAAAUCAUUGGACCUGCGUAUGGUAUUUUUGGUUUCCAUCUGCUUUCCAAUACUGGUAUUUUGGAAUUGGUUAGUUCAUUUUUCAGUCUGUUUUAUCGUUCGGGAUUCUGGGGUAGUUCAUGUACGCAUAGUAGAACUGCGACUUGGCUUAUUGCUACGUUGAUCUAAUUGUGACCUUGUUUAGAUGCUUAUUUCAAUCCUAGCCAAAACAAUUUAUGUCAGUUUCCCACGUGGUUGCGUGACGAGUUUUGCUUUUUGGAUUCCUGUUGUAAAAAUAUAUUAUAAAAUUGAAACUCUUAUCAUACGGACAAUUACCCUAACUGAAAAAUCAGGACAUUAAUUUACCCGAACCAAAAAAAUGAUGGUCUAGGACCCAAGCCCAUUAAAAAAAAUUCUAGCGAUGAACGGCUGUGAUUUAAGCCCUUAAAAUACCGUCUCAUGAUUUUUUGCUUUUGUUGCAUUCUCUAGUACAUAUAUCAUCCAAAACCCUGUGCCUUUGCACUAAGUAGUAUAUUUCCUUGACUUCCCAAGUUUUCUGAAACAAAACCUAGCAGCUACCUUCCAUUUAUUUUGCCCCGUCUUGUUUUCAUACAACCUGCACAUCCGCGCUGUUCUCUCGAGCCUCGAGACGAUUGAAUCUUCAACAUACAAGCGUCAUGAUCAUGGAGACUGCUAGCAGCCUGGGAUUACCAGUCGGAUGCCACUUCGAACCAUCCGACAAAGAGCUUUUGCUUCACUUUCUUAACAACAAGGUGCAUGGUCUACCGCUUUCUUGCAACGCCGCGAUUGAAUGCGAUCUUUAUGGAAACGAAGAAACAUGGAGGCAGUUGUUCGAUCAAAAUGGUGAAAGAUUCUCUACUUUUUCCCCGUGUUAAAGAAGAAGACGGAGAAGGGUUCACGGGUAGAGAGGACCUCAUCUGGAGGAUGCGUUAUAUGGAAAAGCCAGAACGAUAAGCCUGUCAAGGCUAAACUUGAUCCUCGUGAAUCGACUGAGACUCGUAUCGGGUUUAAGCGAAUGUUUUCCUAUGUUCCGAAAGAGGGUUCGACGUCUAAGGCAAAAGGAGAUUGGGUCAUGUAUCGACUUGAUGAUAGCUUUCUCAACAAGAAUAACAAAGUAAUACUAAUACAUGUGUUUGGGUUAAUAUUUGAAUAUUGAGUUAAACUGAAGAGGACCCAAAGAUGGCAAAACAAGAUGAAUCUACCCGAGGCCCAGCGUCAAGCCCAGAGGCAAACUGAAGCCUUCUCAGCCAAAACAUAAGCCACAUGUUUAUGAUGGAAAUGAUAAGUGAUGGAGACUAACUCACAAUCAGCCAAAAGACACUUUCCAGUGGCACUACAAGUAAAAAGCUGAUGACUCACUACCCUAUAAGAAGCUUUAGGGCAAGAUCCUAACCCCUGGGGCCAAAUCGCCUAUAAAAGGAAGAAGAGACAACAUAGAUAAGGAUACUCAACCAAUCAAACAAACAAGCAUACAAACUCUGUUCCCAAGCCAGAUUUGCAUCAAAAAGCUGAAAUCAACCUAGAUUUAGUCCUUUUAGUGAUAGUUCCUUGAAAAAGCUAUCUCUUGUCUAAUAUAAAAGCUUUGCUACCUCUCUUAGUGUUAUAGUAUCGAUUCCGUCGUGUAAACUUGUUUACCAUCCAUCCCUUAUUUUGUUCUUUAUUAAUUUCCCAAACUUGUUUGUUCAUGCAUGUUCGUCAUUGAGUGGUUUGGUUUGCUGCAGCUGUCUUUCAUAAAUUUGGUUCCAUCUUUCGUCAGUUUCUGUUUAAACAGGGUUUAUUUAUUUUUAAUACUACUAAUGAAUACUUUGCGUAACUUUUUCUUGUUUCAUUAAGGUUUUCAUGAAUCCGAAUCACCGUUUACUAACGAUGUUGUUCUUUGUCUGAAUUAAUACAUAUAUAGAUUAUGAAUCUAAAUAUCCUUACAUUCAAAGUCAAAAAAUAAUUUACGAUCUGAAUUUUUCAUAUCUAUCCUUUUGACGAAUCGAGUUAUCUUUCAAAAUUUAAAGUUUCUCGGUUGAAUAGUGAUUAACUUUUAAUUGAAUUUUCUCCAUAACCAGUUGAUUAAGAACUAUUUCAAACAUUCUUUGUGUGGUAAAUGGAGGGAUUAAUUAUGGGGGAUUGAUUCAAAUGAUUUAUUAUAUGUUGAUUAAAGUUAAAAAGCAGCUCCCUUACCUUGUACGUGCGUUUCAUGUUUGCAGGCAAACUAUCUUCUUUGUCGCGUAAUAAAUAAACAAAAGUUACAAACAUGGAGCCAGCCAAGACUGAUCAGAGGGAAUGUCAACCAGGAGAUGCAGUCCAGUAUUGUCAGUGAACCAUACCAUGAGGAGCAGAAUGAUGAUGAUGAGGUGGAUGUUGGCAGUGAAAUCUUAAAGCUUUUAGAUCAAGACUAGAGCACUACAUGAGCAGCAGAAUUAUGGAAAAAGAAUUUCAAGUGACUGAAGCUGAAGAAUUCAUGAACCACAACAUAUCACUUUCGAUAAUUGUUUUUCAGUGGGUAUUGGCCCAGUCUCCUCGCCUAUUUUAUUUUUCCCUUUUCUUCAUAUUAUUAAUAAAAACUAGUAGUGAGGGGACGGGCGGGAGAUUUCUGGGUGCAACGGUCCUUUCUCCUUUGGGAGAGGGUUGGUGCCUCGCACACGAUUAUUGACAAAGAGCUAAUCUCGCCUAAUCCUUUUCUAAAUUUUUUUACCAAACUGAGAUCAUUACAAUUGAACUAUUAUUUACUUUUUUGUCACACUACUAAAAAAUACCAUUUUACUGACAAAUUCUAAGACAAAGCAACCAAGCCACUGCCUAUGAGUUGCACGCUCAUUCUUCAACAGGCACGCGGUCAGAGCCCUGGGCUCCUCCCACUGCUUGGGAGCUUACUGUUUCAUGUUCUAUUUCACUCCCUAUUCCCUAAUGGGGGUUCUUUUCACCCUUCCCUCAUAGUACCACUUCAUUAUCUGUCACCCAAGAGUCUUUUGCCUUGCAAGGUGGUCCUUGCUGAUUCACAUGGGAUUCCACGUGUCCCGAGUAGUUUCAUUUCUAUCACCACUACAACAAACUAUCAUAUUCAUUGCUUCAAAUUCCGUGGGUGGAACCCAACUCGUGUUCUGAGCACUGUGAGUGGAGCCCACCUUGUUUUGCAUGUCAUGGUUCACCUAAUUCUACGUGAGCUAAGUUCGUCUAGUUUUGCAUGCGUCAAGUCCACCUAACACCCUUGUUUUUCGACAAAAAUGCAAAUUUUUUAUUUUUGCCAAAUAUUUUUCUAGAGCAUUAAGUUAAACUUUUUAAGGAAUUCGGAUGCACUUUUAUAAUUUAUUGAGCAACAAAUGUAUAUUGAGUAAAAUAUUUGAGCCGGAAAAAAAAACAAGUGAAAAACAUAGUAGUGAGUCUCAAAACAUUGUUAAAUGGAGUUUGAUACUCAAGAAUCUCAACAAAAGUCUCACCUUAAUUUUCAAAACUUCACAGUGAGGCGAAAAUGAAAUUAAAUAAAUUGAAUGGUGAUUUAUGUACGAAUUUGUAAAAUCGACUGAAAACCGUGAGUCUUAAUCCACUUUUAACAAAAAAAAAAUGCAGAUUUUUUAUUUUCUCAAAAUAUUUUUCGUGAGCAUUAAGGAAAUCUUUAUAAUGUAUUUGAAAGCAGAUUUACGAUUUAUUGAGUAACAAGUGUAUAUUUUGUAUAAGAAGUCAUUUGUUAACCUUUUCACUUUCAAUUUUUGGUUUUUAAUUCACUUUUUUUUGAAAUUUGAAAAAUGAAAAAUGAAAACCAAUAAAUAAAAACUCAUGGCCAAAUUUUGAAAUCUCAAGACAUCAGGGUUCUUAUUUUUUUUUAUUUUUAACUGAAGAUAGUUACCAAACAAAAUUUCAGUAAGUGAAUAAAAACAAAACAAUAUGAUUAUCAAAUGACCCCUAAAAUCUACGAUGUUGCUCAUCCAACUAACGUAAUACACUUUACUUUUGAUUUGAUCAAAAAAGCUUCACCAAUUCCAACAAAAAUUAACUUCUAAAUUUUAUCGAAUUAGAUACAUUUGCUUUAUAGCAUAUGAAGUUGGUAAUGGCUAUAUUGACCAUGGGAUUAUCCUUUUUCUGUUAUUUUAUUUCCAUUUUUGUUUUCUUAAAGGUCUAUUAGAUACCAACAAUCCAAUAUCCUAGUGGAUAAGAGCGAUAGAUUUUCAUCCAUGCACAUUCUGAGUUCGAAACAUCCCCUAUCUUAAAUUAUUGUAAUAAUUUCAAACUCUCUCCCCUCACUCUACUAAUAGUAAAUUUAUAGAAAAUGGAAAAUACCAAUCAUCCAGUGGCAUGCAAGGUAAAGCCUUGGCAUUGAUAUCAGGCAAAUCAGUCACCAGACAGCAAAACGACGGCGAAUAAUAAACACAAACUGUGAAAUCAACUGCAAGCUUGUACAUUUUUUACUCAAAAAAAAAAAAAAAAAAUCGAUUAAGAACAAAAAGUUCUACAGAAAACCUUAAACAACAUGCAUGCGCCGCGAGUUAAAGAUAAAAAUGUUAAGACGCCAAAGCUCGGUUACAUUUGUACAAUCAAUUAACCAUACAAAUUUGAUGAAAAGCAAGCAUAUCCAGAAGCAAAAAUUGUAAUGAAAGAACAAAAUUAUUUACCAGAAACGGAUGCGUGGUAAAAUCACUGAUUGAUCGAACCUCAACGGCCAAAACAUAGUGCAUGAGCAACAACUCUGUUCCAAUCCAGCAACGUCUCACUUCCAAAAUGAUUUGAAUUUAGUCCAGCUGGAGGAUCUGAAGACAAAGGCAGCUCGCUUCGUUGAUAUUUUUGUCACUGUUUUCUAGCUCCACAAAGACAAUCUGCCAAGAAGCACAUAAAUGUAAAUAGAUCAUAUUGCCAAUUUCCGCCAUUGAACUUGUUAACAACUUGAGCAUCCAUUCAUGAAAAACUUCCUAGCACUAAUGUGUGAAUUUCGAGUUACAGGGAGGCUUAGGGUUUACUAGCACCCAUUACACCAAUGAGUGAGCUUGUGAGUAUAAGGUGGGUUAGGGUUUACUCGAGUGUUUUAGGGUGAAGAAAACGUGUGCCUAUAGGGUAUAGGUAUUGGUGAGGUGUAUGAAGAGAGUGAAAAUGUGUUUUCCUCUUCGAUAACCUUUGUCAUAACUUCUCAUUUGUUUUAUGAAGGAACAAAUUUGACGGUAACACGAAAAAGCCAAAAAAAAAAAAAAUUACCUCGAUGGAAAGAAGGAAGCUCUAUGCUUCAUUGGAGGGUUGUGUCUCAGUCAGCUCUGAACUCAGCAUAUGGUGAAGAAGAACAUCAAUUCUCUGGCUCCGAGUUUUGGAGCUGCACAAAACUCAAGAUAUGAGUUUCGACUAUCUAUUACACUUUAAAAAUAGGCUUAGCUACCAACUUUACGCAUCCACAAAUUUCUUGAAAUACAUACCCCAAAGGUCGACGUCGAUCUUUUAGUCCUUCCUCUUCCUAAAUAAAUAAAACAGGAUACAACUUAAUCAUUCAGGAGUACUGAAUCGUUAGUGGUUACAUGCCAAUUAUAUAUGACCCAUGAUAAUAGGACAAAAAAAGCAAAAGGAGCAAUGAAUAUUGAUGGAGAAAGGUAAACCAUAAGUUUCUAAACCAUUUUUUCAUCCUAAAAAUUCAGGGUUGGCAUGAGAUAAAAGUAUUUUAAUGCUCGGAAUACAUUAACGAAAAACUCUGUACAAAAACCAAAUUAUGUACAAAAAAAAAAAAAAAAAAAAAAAAAAAACUCCGUACAAAAACCAAAUUAUGUAAAAAACUACUUUUGCUGGUACUUUAUAGAGAGCAUCAAAUUUUUUUGGAUGAAAACAAAGUAACCAGCUUUCAAAUCAUCCAUUUCAUGCAUCAACAAAAUUGGGCAACAUCAAUAUUUUAAGCAACAUAGUGGUGGUAUUAAUUGGUUUUUAUUUGAAAAUGUACAUUCAAUAAAAGUUUACACAAGGAGUCCCAACGGCAGGAAUUAAGGGAAACCAGAAUCAUAUGAAUAAUAAUAAGCCCAACCCCCACAACAUUUUUAAAGUACCCUUAAUCCUACUUUUGUAUACUAAAAAAAAAGUUGAUUUCCAAAUAGAGUUACAUGAAGAAAUAGAUGCCACGCUCUCCUGUUCAUUUGUAUUCCUAUAGAAAGUGAGAUCUUUUUCACGAAUAGGUGUCGGAGUUUAAAAAAAAAAAAUUUCUUCAACAUGGAAAAUAAAUUUCACAAAAGAUACUGACCUUCCCAUUUUCUUCACUUUUUUCUGAUGACUCAAGAUCCAUUUCAGCAAAGAAAGCCUCCAGGACAAAAGCCACGACCUGAAAUUACAUGGAAACAAAACACGAAAACUCAAACUUCCUAGUUUAAAUUCUGUAAUUUCUUUAGGGGAACUGAGAGAUGCAUGACGAUACACAAAAUACCCAUGCUAAGCACAAUGCACACAGGGUCUCAGACCACUUCAUUCAAUCAUCCAAUUAAAGUUUCGUACAAACGCCAAGAUCACAUCAUUGAUUCGUACAAACUCCAAGAUCACAUAUUUCUUGACUAACUUAGAACAUUUAUUAAUCUAUUCAUAAUUAAAUAAAAAACUUACACUUUUAACAAUAUUAUACAUAUACAAGUUCUUAUAUAAUGAAAAUGAAUGUAGCGGGAAAAACUAGUAUCCCUAAAACAUAAUGUUGUCGGAUAUACACCUUAGUUUCAAAUCCUUUAGUUAUAAUCCAGAAAAGAAACAUACUGAAAAAGAACUUGGUAUUUCCCUUUGCUUACUGUUUGGGUUUAUAUUAUAUAGGACUAUAUCCAUGGUUUGAGUUUAUCACAAACAAUUUUUUUUUUUUAUGGGGGCCGUAUGUGGGUAUCAAUUUACAGUCCUCUACUAUGCCAAGUGCAUGGAAAUUAGCUGGUCUAAAAACCCUGCUCAGUUAAAUUUCGGGUUGAGUCAGGUGAUAGCAACCUGUUCCCCUAAUCAUCAUAGAAAAUAACUGACUAUGAUUGUUGUGCUCUUCAAAUAAGUGGGUGCGUGUAACAGAGUAUUGUGCGUCUACAACACAUGAAACUAACAACAGAUGAAACACUGAAGUGCCAUUUUGGUAGCUCACCAAAUUCAAUAGCAGUAAGACGGUUAUAAGAUAAAAGCUGACAAAAUAUAUAAUGCUCCACCAAGUUCCUGUUAGUUCCUGAUAACUCUGAAAUGGUAAAACAUAUGAUUAGCGUCAUUAUAGCAAUUAUUUCAUCUAUAAUUUGGUAAAAAUAUGAUACAAAAUUGAUUUAAUUUUAGGAUGAUCCUAAACCAUAAGGUUCAACAAAAAACUUCAUCAACAAUAUGUACUUUGAAAAUGGUUAUAAUAUUAUUGCUUAAAAAAUGCUCCUAUUGAUUCCCUACAGAGCAGGAAUGUAUAAUAACAAGGGUAUGCUAAAAUUAUACGAAAGUCAAAAACCUAGAGAAGUGUAUAACCGAUGAAUGAGCAAUAACCGAACAGGUUCUGGUGUAUCAUAAGAGAAUGAGGUAUUCAUCGGUUCGGGCGUAUAACCGAUACAUGUCAAAUUUAUUUAACUGACUAACAAUGUAAUUUUUCGUAGGCUAUUACUUUAUGCAUUCCUAAAACUAAAAAGUCUGAAAAACACUGCCUCACGUGUAAACGAGUUGAUCUACCUCACUGAGCUAUAUCCAUUGUGAUACAUAUUUUAUCAUGUAGAUAAUUUCUUGUCAAGAUGAAUAUUACACGAUCCAACAUUAUAUCUCUUCGAUACGUUUGAUAGGUCCCAUUGGUUUCUGUUUGUGAUACAUGUUUUAUCAUAUGCAAUAUUACUAUAAAGAAAAGAGAAAGCUGAGACAAUUUUACGUACCUCCAUCCAUACUUGCCAGUUUCCCAUGACUAGCAAAUUGAAAAGUGUUACCAUCCCAUUGGGGUAGUCAUUGAAGUUGAAAAGUAAGUAACUGAUUUUGUCAAGAAAUUCAAUGAAUCGACAUUUAACAAGCAAUUUUCCCCAGAGUUCUACAGUAUCUAUGCCAUCUUUUAUCAAUAUUCUACUUAAGGGCUGCUAAAGAAGAUAAGAGUCAUCCUGUUCGAUAUUCUAUUAAAUAUAGCAGGUUUUAUGUCAACAGUUCCAUCAAUGACAGGAUACUCAUUCUCAUAAAGCUCAGAUCCUUCCAAAGAGGUAUUUCCAUCAUUCACCAUUCCACCGAAUAUCUACAAAUUAAAAAGGAAAGAAGUUCUUAGAAACAGAUAUAACAUUAGCUAACAGAUUGAAAGUUAAUAUAAUUUCAGAAAUGUAAGUAUAUUAUCAAUGGGUUUGGAAGAUGUCAUGCCAUAUAAUUUCUAAUGCAUUCAUUAACCACUGUCUGCCUCAGAAAGGUGUCCCUCGAAUAAGCAUGGGCUAAAGUGAACUACUCAAAAACUACAAAGCUAGUACUAAAGUAUAGAAAGUGCACUAUGAUAUUAAACAAAGGACUUUCAAAAAGACAGCUUGAAAGGUGUCUAUUAAAAGUUCUCUCAAAUGUAUUGCAUCUAGACAUUUUCAAGUCCCUCCAUCUAAUUUUUGUAGUGCAUACCUAACAAAUUUAGCCUAACUUCCAUGGAAUUUAAUAGUCCCUCGUCCAAACGCACCAAGGAUUUGGCCGAGUCAAGAGUACUAAAUAAUAACCACAUAGGUUUCUCUUCUUUUAUCCAGAUUUGUUCUUUGCUCUUUUGGGAUUGGCAAUUUGUAUUCUCCUUUUGGUUUUAGUUUAAUUUUUGUUAUAUUUGUUCUGGACGCUUCAUUACAAUACAAGACACCAUUAGCGCCUAUCUGGAAUUGUGAUAUAUGAAGCAUAUUUGUUCAUGGUACACAUAUUAUACUUUUUUGUUUUUGUACAACCAAAAAAACAACGGUGUAACUGGAAAUCUGGAGUGCCUUAGAUUAAUGUUGUGGUAGUCAAUGAUUUCGUUCGCUGACAUUUGGUGUCUACUUUAAAAUCUUAGAGUUUGGCCAGAGGAAACCUUGUUUUCUGUUUUUGUUCCCCUUUUUUAUUUUAACGAAAGUCUUUUCAUCAACAAAGUUUCAAACGCAAGUUUAGAGAACACUGUAUUACCUGUACACCAAGUAUACAAUAGAUACACAAGACACAGAAUAUGGUUCCAAGGUAUGGCAUCAAACUCGGUAUGAGGGCUAAGAAGGUAGCUACAAAUGCCCGGCAGCGCUGGAUAUGCAUCAGGAGCCUAAUCAAUCUUAACAUUCUUGCAAUGAGAAGGUAGCGAAUCCUGAUAACAAGAAAACGAGAAAUUCAUUGAAAAACAUUAGGACCGGUACAUUGAGGAAAUAUAAGAAAGCUAAUAGCACGGAGUAUAAGAAUUUCAUCCCCUACCAUUCUCCAUUUGAAAGAAAAGUUAGUCCUUCAGGAGCCACAAAAGUUAUAGUUUCCCCAAUAACUGCAAAAGUAAUAACCAUUUGUCGCUGAAGUACAAUACAAUCUAAUAAUGCUAAGAAAGAUACAUAUAAAAUCCAAAUUCAAUUACAACUAGAAAUCGCAUACCAAACAUAGCCUCUAGUGAAUCGCACUAAUAGGUAAGUGAUCUAUUAGUCAUCAACUAAUCAGUCCUACAAUUAAGUGCAUCGCACUAAUCAUGACAACAGUGAGGCAUAUGCAAAAUAAUUUGCAUCGGAAACAGAGUCGAAUUGUAUAUCGACCAAUACUUAGAAGAGCUUUAUAUGAUUGGAAUUAUUUUUGUAACAAAUAUCAUUAUAAAACAUUAUAGAACAAUUUCUUCAAAAACAUUUUGAUGAUAAGGACAGAAGUUUAAUAAUAGAUCAGAAGAAACAGGGAUGUGGCUGUCCCGUACAGGUUACCUAUUAUCCAUGUCACCACAAAAUCAAAGCGAUUUUGGCCAUCCCUCCAAUAGUUCUCAAAUCCAAAAGAAUAGACUUUCAGAGCCAUUUCCAGUACAUAUACCCACCCUGUGGGGCACAAAGCAAACCAUUUGAACAAGUUAAAGCUGAGGUCCUCAAAAAUAGCUCUCAAUAACUGACUUCACCCAUUGGCCUAGUGAAGAACCAAAAGAAAAUGCACAUGAUCGUAAAAAAUUACAAGAUAAUUUACACAUUCUGUAGAUUUGCCACCAGAAACUGGAAAUUGAACUACUUUAUUGGUUGAAAAACAUGAAUGUACUAAACUUUGGAUGCAAAUGACCUCCAGCCACAAGUUCUAGAACAUCCUACAAUUUAGCUGGCUAUAAAUAUCUUCCAAACCAGAAGUAAAUUUUGUGUGGCAACUAUAUGGAUCAUUAUUCAACUCCUAUUCCAAUAAAGACAGUACCAGAAGAAUUAUUGUUGUCGCAAGCCCUUACCAAAAACAAACUCCGCCACUUGCCAUACCUCUUGAGCAGUACUGUUUUCUAUAUCAAGCUGAACGCCCAAAUUCAAAUUAGCAUGCAUCUUGAUAAUUGACUUAUAUGUAAUCAGAGCAAUUAAUAAUGAGGCAUCAAAUUUUCAAAUGAUUCAAAUCAUGGUUAACAAGAACGUGGCGUAACAUUCCAUGUAAUUUUGGUUCUCAAAUAUCUUUUUCAAUACCAGAGAGCAACUGCACAAGCAUCAACGUUUCUCUCAAGCUUCAUACCAGAACCAAUCAUUAUAUUUCCCAUGUACGUCAAAGCAAAGUUGAUGUAAAUAAAAAAUAGUCAAGUCCUUCUUAUAUAGUGUGUAGAAGAUUAAUGAUACUUCAAUCAUUAUCAGAGCCGAUAAUCUAAAGUGAAAUCUGAUAAGGACCUGGUAUACUACAAAAUUAUUUAAAAGAAAAAACUGAAAAAGUAAAACUGAAGGAACAAAUAAAAAAGUUGGAACAUUUAAAAGAGGUUUUCCAACCACAUUUAGAUUUGGGGAGAUGGGGGUUCCACCAUCCCCUGAGAUGGGGCACCCAAAUGUCGACCAAGAGUAUUGCCAUGAGCUCCUUCCAUCUUAUAUUUCCAAGUACAUAGCGGAUGUAGGACUCAACAUAUGAGCAUAAGAUACACAUAAACUUGGGCCAUGACAAUGUCCCUUGAGAUGGAGGCCUUGUGCCCCCUAAAGAAGAGUGGCUCCGAAGGGGUGGCCAGUUUUUAUAUGACACAAUAACAACUCCAGAACAAGAAGUUAGCAGAUUAGUAUUAAGUAUGAUCAUGUCCCUUAAACCCGUAAACAGUCUGUGUAUUGGGUUAACCACAACUUGAAUACAACACGAAUGGGUGCGAUCAGUAAUCAUGUGGCGUUGCCACGAAAGGUAGAUGACCAUGUUGCGUUGACACAAUUAUAACCUAUAGUCUAUUAUAACUUGUCAAUUUAAAAUUUCAAGUUAUAUUUAUUAUAGUACACAUGCAAGUGUGUGCAAACAAACUAUGAUUUCUGUAAAGCACUAGUGCAAGUUAUGUUGAAUUUCAAGCCAUACCGUUGUUUCUACAAUAACAGUAGCCAGGUUGAGUAUGAGUAUGAAGGAUAUUAUGUAUCCAAAUAUGGGACUCCGUACGAAGGCCUUCAACUUUUCGGAGAACAAUGAAUGGUAGAAUGAAGGGAACUUUUCAAGCAAAGAGGGCUGCACCCAAAAUUUAAAGCAUCAAAAGUGCAGUAUAAGAGCAGUUCACCAUCAUAUAAAAUAAUAACAAGCAAUUUUCUUGUGCUUUGGAUCUGAAUAAAUUCAACUUACAGUAUCCUCCUUCGGGAAUUUUAGGGCAAUGGCAUUGCAAAGAUCAAAGAAUUCUUCUAAGUUGAUCUACCAGUGAAACAAAUAAACAUCCAACAAAUAAAUCAGGGACGUGGAGUCCACAAAUGAUAAUAACCACAUGAAACUUCGCAAAAAAUGGAGUUGCAAAACUUGCAAGACAUACAUGAUGCUAACAUGAGCUUGUAUCAAAGAAGGGCAGUACAAUGUAAAAUAAUAAUAACAUAUCAGAAAGAGGCCAUCAAAGCUAUUUUAAACCAAUCAUAUGAAAAUUUCAAAUUUAUACUGCAUAAAAGAUACUGAAAAUAGUCUAAAUAAAUGCCUACAAGCAAUUUAAUCUACCUUGAAGUCUCCACUGUCAUCCAGCUCAUCAAAUAUCAGCUGAAAUUCCUCUCUCGUCAUUUUUGGCAAAGUCCUAAAAACAAUUUAAACAAAGGCAUAGGUCAACAUCAGCAAGAUCAAUAAAAAGGGCGACCCCAAGCCAACAAGGCUCCCCGCUUUGCAAGAUCAAUAUGACAAAAUAUUAAACACACACACACACAAAACGGUUCACUCAUGGAAACAUUUGCAAGACAAUGUAUCACUGACACAGUGUAAUAAGUAACUAGUUGGUAUCUGAAGCAAAUACAAAACAGGCACGGGACCAAACUAUUGCAAACUGUUUUAACAUUGUUGUGUAACGGACCUGGGUGAGCCCACAACUAAAACUGAUCCGACACAGAUUUUGUAAGAGCAGCUCAAAAUAUGGAGAGCAGAUAACUUAAAAGAAAUUUAAAAAGUGCAAAUGCAUGUUAAAAACUCAACAAGCUAUUCCCAGGCCAGAAAUAAACUUCAGGCCUCAUUUGGUGUCUAGGGUUAGCUUGAAUUGGAUAAUUCCCUAGGUUCAAUGAAUGUUGAAUGAAUAAAUGGAUGUUAACUUCCAUAGUUUGUCUAAGUUGAAGGUAGAAGAUGGAUUGUCAUCAAAGAAACUUGUCCCUUCAAAUCCCCAGAAAAAUGGUAGAACUGGGUGGGCAAAUUUUUUUCAUGACUAAUGGAUAUUCUACUUUCUACUUGGACAAACUAUGCAAGUUGACAUCCAUUUCUUCAUUCAACAUUCAUAGAAUCUAGGAGUUAUCCAAUCCAAGCCAAUCCUAGACACUGAAUGACGCAUCAAAGUAAUAUUCUCAAUCAACUACUUCUCAAUGUAUCUAUUCUACUUUAAGUAUCCUCUUUCGCAUUCGACUAAAAUGACCUUAAGAUAAAACAUGGAACAUUGACAGUAUAUAGAUGAGGUUGGACCAUGGAUACCUGUACUUAUUUAGUUCCUCAAAUAGUUGAAUACACUCAUCCUUAUUGAGAUACCCUACAUUCUGUCAAGCACAAAUUGAUGGAACACUUAGACCACUUAUAACAUGGAACACAUUAAAAGUAGAAGUUACGUCAAACAUAAAAACCACACUAAAAUACAGAAAAAGCUUCCAUGUAAGUGUACUGUAUUUGUUAUGAUUAUAUUUUACCUUCAAUUCGAAGUAAAAAGUCAACUAAGUUGUCAUAAAUGAAAUAAACACUGUUUUGUGAUGGGCGAAAGACAGAAAAUCAAUAACAAGGAUGGCAAUUGGUAGAGUUCAAGGAAAGAUAACCCAAAGAAUAAGGAUCAUCACCAACUGUUCAUAUUCCACCAUUAAUGUGAAUUAUUUAUCAUUCUGGCUCAUAAAUAAAUUCCAUAACCCACAUGCAGGAGCCCUACAAGAACACAGGAGAAACACUUAAAGCAGAACAACAACCUAAAGCUCAACAGAUCUAAAACUCAUAGGGGGAAGAAGAGAAUAGAAACAAGAUUCAUCAACUCAAAGAAAAAUCAAAGGAACAUUUUCUACACUGUUGAAAGAUCAAUAGUUGAGCGGUCACUAAGUAUAGGGAUGAGAAACAGAAGAAUAAACGUGCAACUUACUCAUAUCUCCUUAGUUUCUGUAAGAUCUUAUCAAUGAGGGGAAACAAUUACUUACAUCCUUGUCUAAUAAAUUGAAGGCUUUCUUUAGUAUAGCUUUCCUUGUCUGGUCCAUCUCAGAAACUUGUUUUACAAGCUACAGAACAAAUUACAUAUAAGCACGUAUAUUCAUAUUCUUCUUGAAAAUUACAAAAUAUAAUCACAACAAAACUGCUAAGUGUAGUAAACUCUAGCAGCAGUUAAACUAGUGGGUACCAGAUAUAAUUAAAUACAACAGUCAUCCAUGUGAUCGUUAAAAGCAGAUAGUAUAUACAAGAACUACACCUGAUUUUUGAAGCUAUCGUACACAACAGCAAGAAUCAAGUUAGUGACAAAGUAAACUCCCAGCAGCACGUAUAGAACAAAAAACAAGGAAUACCAACGUGAAGCCCUAAAUAACAAGAAAACAGAAUUUCAUUAAAUAGUAAAACCAACGGCCACAUGUGAAGAAUUGUUCUAAUGCCAACUUUAAGAAGAAUAACAAUGUCCGCAAGCUAAAACAAGAGCAAAGGAAAUUCCAAUGCUCACAGACAUCUUAAUGUGAAAAUUCCAUGCGAAUAACAUAAAAAACAAAAAAAACCAAAAAGAGAAAGAAAAAAAAGCUAACAUUCGUUCAGCAUAUCUUUGGUGCAUUCCUUUCUCGACAUGCUUUUUUAAUUUCUCAUUUUUACUCCUUUAUUGUUCUGCUCAUUUGUUGCCCUACACAAGGAUUCUUUGAAUAUUUCUUGCCAGUAUAUUUCUCUCUAUCCCCAAAGAUAGACAUACCAGCCAAAUCAACUCAAAAUAAAAUCCUAAUGGAAUCCCCAAAUUAUGGGGAAAACAUGAAAAGUCUUUAAAAUAAAUUAAAUAAUUCAGUUUACGGUAGAAAAAUAGGAACCUGACUUUCUGGAUGAAAUUAUAAAACAAGAGAAAAUAAAAACAAAAACAAAAAACAAAAAAGAAAAAGAGCUCUCUAGUCAAUUUUCAUGGUCAAACUUACUUGUAGGCAGGUAUCCAGACAUCUGGAUUGUUGGAUGUGGUGAAUAAAACAAACAUCUUAUACAAUGUAAUACCAUACGAAGUAAAUACUGUUUUCCCCUGCUUGGUAUCUUCAAACAUGACAUAGGCCAACCAACUGGAAAACAGAAGAAAUAAAAGCCCUAGAGCCUGCAAUGGAAAAAAUUAAUCGUGAGAACCAGACUAGGAAUUUUAAAUAAUUGUAUUCAAUGAAAGAGAACAAAGUGGAAGUGUGCCAUCACAGAAGCCUUACAAACUGUAAAAGAAAAAACGUAAGACUUUCCUUUUUUGAUAAGGGAGAAAAAUAAUUGAAUUAAAAAAAAAAAAAGAUGAACAAAAGUCUAACAUUAACCAACAAAAACUAGAAUAUACGAGCAAAAUCUUUCAACAAAAAAAAAAACCAGAAGCAACAAACCAAAUGUUUGAAGCACAGUUUUCAUAUAACACACUAACUGGGACACUCCUCCCAAUCAAGAAGGAUUUCACGACAGGAACAGCCUUUAAAAUGUACGGACAAAGAAUCCCGCAAAGAAACAAAAAGUUCAAUUUAUCCCAAUUUGACCUUCAAACCCUCCUCUUUGUCUUAAAAGAUAUUCUUGUCCCAUUCCAUUCCUAAACCCUAAACUUCUUCAGGGCCUUCACCCAUGAAAAACCCGUGACAAGACAGAGCAGUUUCUAGGGAAAACCCAGAUCAAACCAAACACCUCCAGCAAUCCUAGACAAAUCUGACUAAUGAACACGCAGUGCAGAAAUAUGGUCUGCAUUCUCCUCAUCCAGUUUACACCACACCCCAAAGUGGUGAUAAUCACGCGAAGGAUCUUCUUCUCUAGAACACGUCAGAGAUAUUUAGAGUUUUCCAAAAUCAACCAGCCAAGAGAAUUAACACCUAAGCUGUCACACCAGCCAUCCAAAUUAUCUUAAAUGGCUCAAAGGAUGGAUUCAGUUGAUCUGUUACCAACUGAAAGGAGAAGGAUGAGCUGACCAUGAUCUUUGGUCAACUAGACACGAGCCCAAGGAGACAUGACUCAUAAGAAUCUCAAUACAAGAUGGGAAAAAAUAUUGGUUCCCAAAAUGUGACUCCUCCCAUUAUCAACCACAAUAAAAUUUAAGAGGGACAAAAUAAAAUAAAUAAAGCUAUCAAGUAAGACAAUCAGAAACUAACAAAAGGAUAAAAUACCCUACUGAUACAAAUAAGAGCUCAAAAAUAGAUAGUUAACAAACCAAGACGUUCAAGUACGUGCCAAGCAUUCCAGCCAGGAUGAGCAUGCAUGACCGCAAUUCCCUAUUAGUAAAGGUGAAAUGGAACCAAGCAAGUUCAAGUUAUUAUGGGAAAAAGAAUAGCAUAGUACAUGCAUCAAAAGAUAAUAAUACAUAACGAGGUUUGCUUCCACAAAUUAUUAUAUCCAUAUGGCAUCAUCAAUGGUCUAACAGAACCAAAUGUCACUACGUAGGAAUUUGUUCCUGUAAACCUUAAUUAAAAACCAGAAAGUUUGUGUCCUCCGCUUCUUCAUUGUUUGGUGGAAGGGUAGGAAAUGGAAAAUGUAGUUUCCCCACAUAAACAAGAUCAGAAUAUGCAUAUGAUUAUGUACAAGCAGCACUCCUCAGCAUCUGUGUUUUGACUCCUUUUAUGAAGUAUAAGAGUCCAUAUGAGGAUCAUAUAUAUAAUGUUUAAGCAAAAGGACAUAAUAACAUACAAAUAUAAAUGUCAUUUGUAUCUUAUGUGGCCCUUAAAAUCUUUAGUUAUGCAACUUCAUGUGAAUAACUUUAAAAAAAAAAAAAAAUAUAAGCAAUGCCACAUGAACUUUUAACCCCUGUGACACUUGACCACCUGAGACAAGCUUUUGAGACAAAAUACCGCCCACCAUCAAGACUGAGGAUCUCCGUUUAAAAACAAAAUGUCACGUGCACGUCACCACCAUUUUGUGACUGGUUGCCACUUGAACUAAUGUUUUGUGCAAUACUGCACCCUGACUUUUUUUUUAUUUUGUCCAUAUUGUCACCUGAAACCUUAAAAUUAUCCCCCAACUCUAUUCAAGCAAUCAUUUUCUAAUUCUUUUUAUUUUACUUUAGUUUUGGUCAAGUAAUAUCGGGCAUUUGGAAUAGCUUCUUAUGGGCCAUCAAAAAAUAAUUUUGAAAGGCCAUAUAAUUUCAAACCCUCAAGAUAUUUUUUAUCAAAACUACGAAAAUACCUAAAAUUGUUGUAAAAUAUGGUGUGAUGCCACACACAGAAAUGCAUGAAGAAGCAAAGCAACAUGCUGCCAAAGUGGACAUUGGUGGCACCAAUUAAGGGCUUUAGGUGGUACACGUCGCAAAAGAAAGUCCAAGCAGUCAAGUGUCACAUGAAUUGGAUUUUACACACGAUACCUGAAAUUCAAUAUGAAAAAGAUAACUCUGAUGUAUGGUGCAAUCCUGAAAGGAAGGGAAUCAAAGGCCACCGAAGACACAUAGAGAGCAUAAACCAGCAUAUCAGCAACCAAAAUCAGUAGGCAUGUGACCUAAAAAGAUACAAAAUUAAAAAAAAAAAAUCAUUACUAGAAAGAAAACAAGAACAGCAUUCAGCGUUUAUAGUCAGUGGACAAAUCAAAUAUUAAUUUCAACCUUGAUUUUAAUCAUUUUCUACAAAAAAAAAUGCUUUUUUUUCUAAGCUGUUUAUAAUGCUCAAGAUAUCAAUAGUUAUGUAAGUCCAAAUGCACAGAAAUACUAUAGUCUACACAUCCCUUUGGCUGAUAUUAAUUGAAGCAGAAAUGUUGACCAAAGAUCAGACAAGAAAUCUCAUGUAAUUAAUAUAGUUGAUUCUAAAGAGUAAAUGGCAAUUGUCAACAGUAGAUUCAUAGCAGUCAUCAUAAGGAUUCAACGUGAAAAAGGAAGUGCUGGCAGUCGACUACCUGAUUCAUAGCAGUGAUAUUUGACUUAUUGUAUUUGGUAUCAUACUUGAUCUAUAUUGUUUGUAUAGCUAUAUAUAUCCUCCAACUUCAAGAACAACAUAAUCAAGAGGAAUUACUCUGAUUUUAAACUCAUCUAGAAAGGAUGAACUGCUAUCAUUUUUAGCAGUUCACCUUUUGUUGUACUACUGCAGCACCAGAAAGGAACUAAAGCCCUACUCAACUCCUCAAGGAUUUUCUGCUGGAAGGUUGUUUGCUUAGUUUUCCUUUAGUUAGAAGAUAACUGAUUUCCAUCUGUACAGAUUUUGAAUAUCAAAUAUGAAAGGCAUGUCGAAGAUACUGUAUGUGAUAAAACACAAAAAAAAUUCUCUUUUCUGAUUUUCAUGUAAAGUCCUGUAUGGAUUAUAUUAGAACAAAACAUCAGGAGAAGCAAUAAAAUUUCCAGACAGCCUAAGGCCAAAAAUGCAUAAUGGUUGAAUUUAUACUGGAGAAACAAUGAUGCUUAAAUGGCUGAUUCCAAUACAAUAAUGGCUGCAUAACAGUUACAUCUGCAGGGUUGAAGGUAGCACCAACUAUAGCCAGAUUUGAUCACCCCCUCCCCCAAGAAACAAAAAAAAAAAAAAAGUCAUGUAGAUUAUUUGGAUCUCUGCAACAACAAAUUUACUGCACUUUGAUUCACGAAAAGAGUGCUAGAAGACCAAGAUGAAUAUGAUUUAUUAAUACUACGGAUGAAGGGUAAGGAAGAGAACCUUUCAUAUUAUAGCCAAUGAUAAGGCCAAAACAAAGCACUUACCUUAAAUAUGGUAAGAGGAUUUUUCCAAUAGAGGAACCCUUCAUACGAAAUUGGAAAGAAAAUGUGCACUACGAGUACAAUGAGUGUUAUUCCCUGCACAGAAAAGGGUAAAUUUAUAAUUCUAAAAAUAAAAGUAGCUGUCUAAUGCAUUAACAACAGAAAUUAGGCCAAAAAAAGUGAAAUCUCAAAAAUGUAUCGUAUAAGCUCAAGUAAACACCACAAAUCUUCUAACAUCAUCUUGUAACAACAAUAACACAAUACCACUAUGCGUGUAUGUGAGCAUCUCUAUUGAUAAUUUACUUGCACUAUGCGUGGAUAAUCUGUUUUACACAUUACCCACGCAUGGUGAUUAAUUUACUUAUUCUGAUUAAUUUAUGAAUACACUUAACAAAAGAAGAAGUGUGUGUAUGCGUGCAUAAGCACCGCAUGAAUGUGAGUGGUGAGCAAGUUUUUGCAAAGCUACAUAAAAUUUUGGAGAACUCCGCCUUCUGUAAAUUAAGGAGAAAUUAGGUUCUCAUCCCUAAUUAUUUUAUUUCAUUGAUUGAAACCUUAUUCCUUUUUAAUUUUUUAUCAAGGUCCUUUGGUUUUUAUCACGCCAUUAAAUAUUUACAUGUUAGCAUAUUUAAAUUUUAUAAUUUAACAAUUAUUUAACCAUUUCCAAAUAGAUCCAUUUAGUGUUAGAAACGUUACAUUUGAUAAUAUUUAUAUUUAUUCUAAAUUUUGUAUCAUAUAUUUCUAUUUUUAUUAUUUGCACCCAUUUUUAAAUUGCAACCAUUUUUUUAAUAUGUUUAAACUUUUAUUUGGUAUUAAUCUUUCCCUAUUAGGUAGGUAUUAGUCUUUGCAUGAUAUUAGGAAGAAUUUAAUCAUUUUUGUUAUUAAAUUUCUUAAUUAAUACUGAAACUUAACAUUUUAUCCUUCAAUCAAAGUAUUCAAAUUAGUAAAAGUUCCAAUCCAAAAUUUUAGUCAAUCAGCUCAGAAGUUAGUAGAGUACAACAAUGGUACACUAGGAGCAACUAAUUGAAAUUGUUAAAAGAAAACAUCGAAACUGCAUCGGACGUAGACGAUGAACUUGAACAGAAUGAUGAGUGUGAAACAGAAAUGAGACUUAAAAAAAAAACAAAAAAUACCUCAUAAAUAAGAGACUCCAGAGAAUUCAAGUACGGCAAUUGGCCAAGAUAGAAGUAGUCUCUGUCACUACAUGUAUAGACAGUGUCGGUAUACCUAUAGCACCACAGAGGUUUCUGCACAGAUUUCACCAAGCACCAUAUAGUAAAAUUGGAUUUUAUAUUUUUGAAAAAUUUAAAAAAAAAUUGCAGAGACGAACCUCGAGGAAGUUGAGGAGUAUGAGGGCGAAAUAGAGGAGGGCCCAAAGGAUGCUGAAUCGGAAGUAAAGGAAGUAGUACUUAGCGGCACUCUGAAAGUUUGAUUGAUCCAGUAUCUGCUCUGGUAACCCAAUGCCAUCUUCCGCCUGCAGAUCAUUGCAAUUUAUUUCUCUGUUUUCGCAACGAGCAAGAUGACAAAUGAGGAUUUAGGGAAAUGAGAGAGAAAGAGAGAAGGACCAAAUCGACGAGUGCAGCAGCUUUCUGAUAAGGAGUGCCGGAGGUGAUGGCAUCCGCGCGGCGUUUGUAGCCGGGGGAUGGAUCGCCGCGGCGCCGAAGGCCGCUGUCUUCACCGCUGAGCAGAGGCUUCUCCAUCUUCUCCGGCGAUGUGAUGAGCCGAAAUGCGGUUCGAGGAGUUAUUGCGGCAGUUGUGAAUAGCGACUUGUGACUUGUGACUGACUCUUGUCUGUCUGGUGUUUUUAGUUUAGCGCUGGAAAAUAAAAUAAAAUCGAAGUUUAAAUAAAACUCGAAGUUUAUUCCUAACCGCAAGAUCAAUUUGGACGGCCAAGAUUGCUCGGUCCCGCAGAUCCCGAGAGAAAGAUCCGGUGGUGUUCGGUUUAAUUUGAUGUGGCGGAGGAUAUGCAUAAAGUAUUGUUGACGUGGAACAUAAUGGAUGGAGUUAUGGAAUGAAAUACUGAUCGUGACCGAACCAAAAUCUUAUUUUUUCAAUUUAUUUUGUUUUCAUGUGGGGUUUAGAGUGAUUGGUGGAGGACUCAAGGAUAAACUACGCGAUGUCGGCAAGGCCAUGGGCCAUACUCUGUUUUUUUGGAUUAAGCAUCCAAAAAUCCCAAUCAUUUGGUGUCCUAUCAAAUUUAUCUCGACUUUUUAGUAAUCAACUUAUUAAAAAUAAAGAAAACUAAUGAAAAUGACAUGAAAACUUUGAGUUUUAACGAAAAUGAUAAAAAUGUGUUGUAAGUGAAUAGUAGCAUGAUUGACUUUUUAGAGUAAAAAUGUAGUUUUUCGUUAAAAUAAACAAUACCGAAAGCUUUUCGUUAAAGUUCUCUUAAAAAUAUCACCUUCGUUAAGAACCAAUUAAAAAUCUGUUAAAAUUAAAAGGAAACUUGGUAUAACUAUAAGUCUAAUUUUUUUAAAUCAAUAUUAGAAAUAGUUUAAUUUCUUAAAAUAAGUUAAAUCCCUUAAAUUUAGAAUUCUUUUAUUAUCAAUAAGUAAUUUAAACUAUAUAUUAAUAUAAUCCACUUUUUCAAUCAAAAAAUGGUGAAAAAAUUAUUUAGUCUUUUAUAACAAUUCACAAGUUACAACAAAAAAAUUAAAGACAAUAACAUAAUUUCACAAUCUUGUUUACUUAAAUUUUUUGUAAUAGUUGAUGCAUGUGUCUUGUGUGACUUGGUUUAUGGGUAAAAUGCGUUGUUUGACCAUUUUGUUUUUAGAGUUCCCAACCUUGUUUACUUCCAUUUUCUGAUCGGAUUCAUAAGCAAUUGUAAACUUAAAAAUAAAAUGAUUUUUUAAAAAAAAAAUAUGUCAUGAAUUUGUACACAUUUUUAAAUUUGUCAUAUAAACUAAAAUUUUAAACAAUAUGUUAGACCAACUUUUUGAAAUUAUCAAUUUGUCAUCUCAACCUAACUCCGGUACGUUUUUCAUCCAAAAUAAGUCGUGCACAUGACUUGUGUUCUAAGUUAUUUAUGUCAUUUAAGAUCUUUUUAUAAGUUCUUUACUUUUUUUUAGAAAAACUCUUAAAUUUUGUGUUUAAGAGUAUUUAUGUGGAUCGUUGACAAUUCCAUUUAUGGCUACAUACCUUAACUCGUUUCUUAUAUUAAAAGAGCCCGUAUAAAAUUUGAUUUCAUGACAUGAUAAACUAAACACCUUAUAAUUGUUUCGAUCGAACGCAACUUACUAGAAGGAAGUGGAGUGUUUUUUUUUUUUUUUUUUUUUUGUAGUACAACGAUAUAUUUUACACUAAGAGAAGAGGGAGUUCGGUUAAGCCACACAAUGAGCAACCUAAUUUGGUAUUGAAUUCGCCAUCCACGAGAUUCGAACCUAAUAUCUCUCACUUACAAAUGAAGAGGAAUACCACCAGACCGUAAUACUAAACGGCGAAAUGGGGUGUUAAAAUGACAAAAAAAACUCUAAACACAAAGGCACAUGACUUAUUUUGAAUGGAAAACUUAACGGACCGUGAGAUGAUAAAUUGAUAAUUUCGGAAAAUUAGUAUGACAAAUUGCUUAAAAUUUUAGUUUAUAUGACAAAUUGAAAAAUUGAUACAAGUUUAUAUGACAUUUCAAAAAAAAAAAUUAUAUUCUCAGAAGCCGGCAUCCCUUCGUUCAAAACCGCAACGGGUUCACACUUGGAGCCGGUAUCUUUAUUUGCAAAUCACAGAUUGAUACGUCUACAAAAUUAACUUAUUAAAAGUACAAAACAAGGUUCCGCAAAGCGUGCCGUGUAUACGUUGGAACAGACUCUUUUCAUGUAAGAAUCCAAAGUAUUUGUCAAGCUAACAUGUCAAGCAGAACCAGCCGAUCAGAAACAAAAGGUCGGCUGCUAAGAUUGUCUCACCGUAACAGAAAAUCGCAAAUCAAUUCACUUACCUCGCUUAUGCAGCAACCAGCUUACCAGGCACAUUUUGUCUUCUGUAAACCUAGAGCAAACCUCCAUGUUGGAGAAUUUAUGCACAUAUCAAGUCAAUUUAUUUUCAAUGUUUUCACGCGCUUAAACAUGUCUCGAUGCUGAAAGAAAACAUCGAUAAGCGAGCACGUUGUACAUCAAGAUUCGAGACCAAACACAUAGAGAAAAUGAGGAAAACAGCUGCAUUUCUCACAAAAGAAUAAAAAAUGUUGUGACAAUCUGGAGAAGCUACCACAGUAAACAAUACUCAAUAUAGACACAACGCAAAAAAGUUGCCCCGUCUCAGAUGCGGGAGGGUAACUGCAAAUGACACUAAAAGCAAAAGCUCCCUAACUGGAGAUUGAUGGUAUCUAUGAUAAAAUUUACUAAUUACACAAGUAAUUGGGAAGAUGAAGCCAGUAUCAAAGAACAAAGGGAAUCCUCCACUCCUCCGUGAACGUUAAGUAAAUCAUACCUCCUUGAAACACACAUAAGAGCCCCCAACAAGUCUAAACCGUAAUCCAACUCCUCAACUUGUCGAGAUUUUCUACAUCGUGCUCACAUCAAAACUGCAAAAAAAUAAAAUGCAAUCCCAUUAGUAACGUGGAACUGAAACAUACAAACUCAGCAAUCGCAUAUAAAGAAGGUUUAAGUAAAUUACGAGUUCAUUUAUGCUUAUAUAGGGGCAUCCCAAAUAAAGGGAAUAUAUUGGCCCACCACCCUCAAAUGAUAGUGAUGCUCACCGCUCUAUUUAUCACCGUUAGAUAAGUUUAAAUUUCAAGAUCUGUGUGAUGGAUAGACACAAAUCUCAAAAUUUAACUCAUCCAACGGUGAUAAAUAGGGUGGUGAGCAAAAAUGCACCCCCAAAUAAAUAGAGUAGAUCUAACUUCUAUGACAUUACAAAUGCAUCAGAACUCCAUGCAACUAGGUGAAAUUCCAUCAAUGUCAAAAGAGAUAAAUGGAGACCACAAAACACAAAUACGGAGGCUUAAAUUUCUUGUUUCGUAACUCUAAUUGAGUAUAUGUAAUCAAUGGAUAACAGCUCCAAAUUACAACAUGUUAGACAACUUAAUUAGCACAUUAAAUAUUUAUUCAACAACAACAACAACAACAACAACAAAGCCUUUUCCCACUAAGUGGGGUCGGCUAUAUGAAUCCUAGAACGCCAUUGCGCUCGGUUUUGUGUCAUGUCCUCCGUUAGAUCCAAGUACUCUAAGUCUUUUCUUAGCGUCUCUUCCAAAGUUUUCCUAGGUCUUCCUCUACCCCUUCGGCCCUGAACCUCUGUCCCGUAGUCACAUCUUCGAACCGGAGCGUCAUUCGGCCUUCUUUGCACAUGUCCAAAUCACCGGAACCGAUUUUCUCUCAUCUUUCCUUCAAUUUCGGCUACUCCUACUUUACCUCGGAUAUCCUCAUUCCCAAUCUUAUCCUUUCUCGUGUGCCCACACAUCCCACGAAGCAUCCUCAUCUCCGCUACACCCAUUUUGUGUACGUGUUGAUGCUUCACCGCCCAACAUUCUGUGCCAUACAACAUCGCUGGCCUUAUUGCCGUCCUAUAAAAUUUUCCCUUGAGCUUCAGUGGCCUACGACGGUCACACAACACGCCGGAUGCACUCUUACACUUCAUCCAUCCAGCUCGUAUUCUAUGGUUGAGAUCUCCAUCUAAUUCUCCGUUCUCUUGCAAGAUAGAUCCUAGGUAGCGAAAACGGUCGCUUUUUGUGAUCUUCGCUAGAUUGCUCCGGUCAUUAGUGUGGAUAAGUAUAUAAAUGGAUAGAGAUAGGAAAGCAAACACAAGAUGUACGUGGUUCACCCAGAUUGGCUACGUCCACGGAAUAGAAGAGUUCUCAUUAAUUGUGAAGGGUUUACACAAGUACAUAGGUUCAAGCUCUCCUUUAGUGAGUACAAGUGAAUGAUUUAGUACAAAUGACAUUAGGAAAUAUUGUGGGAGAAUGAUCUCGUAAUCACGAAACUUCUAAGUAUCGGAGUGUGGUAUCGUCUUGACUUGCCUUAUCUGUCUCAUAGGUAGAUGUGGCAUCUUCUCUGGAAGUACUCUUCCUCCAUCCAGGGGUGGUAUCUUUAACUGGUGGAGAUGCACAAGGUAAUGUAUCAAUUUCACUUGAAGCUUACUUGUAGUUUCAGGCUUGGUCAAGCGCGAUACAAACCAUGUAGUAGGAGUCCCCCAAGUCGCCGAGCUAGGGGAUCUGCUGAAAGAGGUGACAGACAAGGUAAGCAAUCAGAGCUCCGGCUGAUUGUUCACCUUCUCCCCAUCUUGCAGCAGCAUGAAGGAUAAAGAGAAGAAAAAUGAGAAGAGAUGAUAUGGGAUACUUUUGCUUUUGAAGAAGUAACUUUCCACAGGCUUAUUCUUGAACUGAGCUGGAGGGUUUUCUGGUUUCCUCCAGAGUAUAAGGCCGACUGAAGAAUUUGAGGGUCAAAACAAGUCCAUCAAAUCUAGAGUACGUUCGACCCUGCUGAUAUGGGAUACUUUUGCUUUUGACAGAGUAAUGGAUGUAUCGGCACGUGUGCUGUUACGCUUGUCUCCACAUGCUUCCUUGUAUCCUUCGCACUUGCCCUAUCUGUUCCUCAAGCAGAUGCGGUAUCUUCCCUGGAAACAUAAGAUGUUGAAGAUGAGUACUCGAGAGCAAUGCCAGGUAAGUAAUCAGGUAAGGGGUUCCAGGCAGUCAGUUCCUGGCUGGAAGCUUGAUUCCAAGUGCUGACUGAUUGCUCUCUUUCUCCUUGUCUUGCAGGUAAAAACAAGGCCAAAGGAAAAGACAGGGAAAAAGCAUGAUAUGGGAUACUCUUGCUUUUAACCCUGAUGAUAUGAGAUAUUCUUGCUCUAGUAUAGCUUGUUUGCAGAGGUAUUAUCGGGGGGAAAGAAAGCUGAAUAUUUCGAAAGGCUUCGUUGGGAGUGCCCUCUCAGAUAUAUGAGGAAGGGUUGAGCAUUUUUGCAGGUCUGCCUGUCCGUUGGGGAUGGAGGUCGACAUAUAUAGGAGUCUCCCUAACAACAAGUAGUAAUGCUAUUCCUUUACCCUGCUUGGUCAUAGCACGGUAGUGGGAGCUGCCAGCUUCACAUGUUUUAACUCUGUCAGAGCACUUUGAAAAAGUGGUCUGUGGUAUCUGGCUCUCGAGAUUCGGAGAACGAUGCCUCUUCGAUUUUUGAGAAAGCAAUCAUGCUGGAAUCUUGUUGGGAGUGUUGUCUCGAAUGUGAGUAAAGGUUGGGCAUGUUUGCUAGUCUCUCGAGCACAAAGGUUCAGGGACUUUCCAAUUAUCCAGCAUGGUACUGUUCCUUUACCCUCUCUUCGAUUUUUGAGAAAGUAAUCAUGUUGGGAGUCUGGCUCUCGAGAUUCGGAGGACGGUGCCUCUUCGAUUUUGGAGCAAGCAAUCUUGUUGGGAGUGUUUUCUCGAAUGUGAGUAAAGGUUGGGCAUGUUUGCUAGUCUACCUUGCCACGAAGCACAGAGGUUGACACACAGGGACUUUCCAAUUAUCCAGCAGUGGUACUGUUCCUUUACCCUUGUGGGUAAUAAUAUGGUAGCUAGACCUUCAAAAUUUAUGGGUCUAAACUUUGUUAGUGCUGUUUCUUUGCUAUUCUUUUACCCUUCUUGGUCAGAGCGAUGUAGUGGGAGCUGCAAGCUUCACGUGCUCAACUUUGGCAGAGAACUUUGGCAAAGUUAUCUGUGGUACCCAUGAGCUAUUGUUGCGUGUGGGAAGUGGGUGAUUGAACAGUAAGAUUCAUGUGCUUUCUACUUCACCAGAAGUCUUCGACAGAAUGCCCAUAAUUUCCGCAAAGCUGAGUGUGCGUGUGACAGGUGCUGACAAGGCUGGAAAAGUAGGUGCCUCUUCGAUUUCUGAGAUCGGCCCUCGUGGUCUCUGAGCAGCCCAGCUUUUGAGAAAGCGAGCGCCUCUUCGAUUGAUUCGGAGAACGAUGCCUCAUCGAUUUUUGAGAAAGCAAUCAUGCUGGGGGUCUGGCUCUCGAGAUUCGGGGAGCAGUGUCUCUUCGAUUUUUGAGAAAGUAAUCAUGUUGGGAGUCUGGCUCUCGAGAUUCGGAGGGCGGUGCCUCUUCGAUUUUGGAGCAAGCAAUCUUGUUGGGAGUGUUUUCUCGAAUGUGAGUAAAGGUUGGGCAUGUUUGCUAGUCUACCUUGCCACGAAGCACAGAGGUUGACACACAGGGACUUUCCAAUUAUCCAGCAAUGGUACUGUUCCUUUACCCUCUCUUCGAUUUUUGAGAAAGUAGUCAUGUUGGGAGUCUGGCUCUCGAGAUUCGGAGGACGGUGCCUCUUCGAUUUUGGAGCAAGCAAUCUUAUUGGGAGUGUUUUCUCGAAUGUGAGUAAAGGUUGGGCAUGUUUGCUAGUCUACCUUGCCACGAAGCACAGAGGUUGACACACAGGGACUUUCCAAUUAUCCAGCAGUGGUACUGUUCCUUUACCCUUGUGGGUAAUAAUAUGGUAGCUAGACCUUCAAAAUUUAUGGGUCUAAACUUUGUUAGUGCUGUUUCUUUGCUAUUCUUUUACCCUUCUUGGUCAGAGCGAUGUAGUGGGAGCUGCAAGCUUCACGUGCUCAACUUUGGCAGAGAACUUUGGCAAAGUUAUCUGUGGUACCCAUGAGCUAUUGUUGCGUGUGGGAAGUGGGUGAUUGAACAGUAAGAUUCAUGUGUUUUCUACUUCCCCAGAAGUCUUCGACAGAAUGCCCAUAAUUUCCGCAAAGCUGAGUGUGCGUGUGACAGGUGCUGACAAGGCUGGAAAAGUAGGUGCCUCUUCGAUUUCUGAGAUCGGCCCUCGUGGUCUCUGAGGAGCCCAGCUUUUGAGAAAGCGAGCGCCUCUUCGAUUUCUGAGAUCGGCCUUCGUGGUCUUUGAGCAGCCCAACUUUUGAGAAAGCAAACGCCUCUUCGAUUUCUGAGAUCAACCCUCGUGGUCUCUAAGCAGCCCAGCUUUUGAGAAAGCAAACGCCUCUUCGAUUUCUGAGCAGGCGCCUCUUCGAUUUCUGAAGCUCCGUCGAGUGCAGAUUUUUAUAGGGGCUGGCAUUAAGUUCCAAAGCACACUUGAAUCUCCACCAGUAGAAGCUCCAUUCUUGCACUUCUAAGAUCUUGAUUUGUCCGACCUCUUCUCUCUUCAACACCUUUGAAAAUGUCUGGCCCCUCCGACCGUCGUUUUGACUUGAACCUUGUUGAAGAGGCAGCCCCGCCUUCUCCAGACAACAUAUGGCGCCCAUCCUUCGUCUCCCCUACUGGUCCUCUUACCGUUGGGGAUUCCGUGAUGAAGAAUGAUAUGACCGCUGCGGUGGUGGCCAGGAACCUUCUCACUCCCAAAGAUAACAGACUACUUUCCAAACGGUCUGAUGAGUUAGCUGUUAAGGAUUCGCUGGCUCUCAGUGUUCAGUGUGCAGGUUCUGUGUCUAAUAUGGCCCAACGCCUAUUUGCUCGAACCCGCCAAGUUGAAUCAUUGGCGGCUGAAGUGAUGAGUCUCAAACAGGAGAUUAGAGGGCUCAAGCAUGAGAAUAAACAGUUGCACCGGCUCGCACAUGACUAUGCUACAAACAUGAAGAGGAAGCUUGACCAGAUGAAGGAAACUGAUGGUCAGGUUUUACUUGAUCAUCAGAGAUUUGUGGGUUUGUUCCAAAGGCAUUUAUUGCCUUCGUCUUCUGGGGCUGUACCGCGUAAUGAAGCUCCAAAUGAUCAACCUCUGAUGCCUCCUCCUUCUAGGGUCUUCUAGGUUCUGUCCAGUACUGAGGCUCCGAAUGAUCCCCCUCCGGUGCCUUCUCUUUCUGGGGCUCUACCGACUGCUGAGACUUCUCCUAAGCAACCUUUGUGAAGGCUCCCUCUUGUUUGUUUAUUUUGACUCAUGUAUAUGUACAUAUUUGUAGCUUAUCGGGGAUAUCAAUAAAUAAGCUUUCCUUCAUUUCAACGUAUUGUGUUAAAUACACCAAAGCCUUCUUCGCUAAGUUCUUUGAAUUUUCUUUUGUUGAAGCUUGUAUGUUGAAGCUUUCUGAGUGGAGCAUGUAGGUUGGGGUAGUGUUCCCUUAAUUUUCCGAGUGAGGAAAACUUCUCGGUUGGAGACUUGGAAAAUCCAAGUCACUGAGUGGGAUCGGCUAUAUGAAUCUUAGAACGCCAUUGUGCUCGAUCCUGUGUCAUGUCCUUCGUUAGAUCCAAGUACUCUAAGUCUUUUCUUAGAGUCUCUUCCAAAGUUUUCCUAGGUCUUCCUCUACCCCUUCGGCCCUGAACCUCUGUCCCAUAGUCGCAUCUUCUAAUCGGAGCGUCAGUAGGCCUUCUUUGCACAUGUCCAAACCACCGUAACCGAUUUUCUCUCAUCUUUCCUUCAAUUUCGGCUACUCCUACUUUACCCCGGAUAUCCUCAUUCCUAAUCUUAUCCUUUCUCGUGUGCCCACACAUCCAACGAAGCAUCCUCAUCUCCGCUACACCCAUUUUUGUGUACGUGUUGAUGUUUCACCGCCCAACAUUCUGUGCCAUACAGCAUCGCCGGCCUUAUUGCCGUCCUAUAAAAUUUUCCCUUGAGCUUCAGUGGCAUACGGCGGUCACACAACACGCCGGAUGCACUCUUCCACUUCAUCCAUCCAGCUUGUAUUCUAUGGUUGAGAUCUCCAUCUAAUUCUCCGUUCUUUUGCAAGAUAGAUCCUAGGUAACGAAAACGGUCGCUCUUUGGUAUUUCUUGAUCUCCGAUCCUCACCCCUAACUCGUUUUGGCCUCCAUUUGCACUGAACUUGCACUCCAUAUAUUCUGUCUUUGAUCGGCUUAGGCGAAGACCUUUAGAUUCCAACACUUCUCUCUCCAAAGGUUAAGCUUUGCAUUUACCCCUUCCUGAGUUUCAUCUAUCAACACUAUAUCGUCUGCGAAAAGCAUACACCAAGGAAUAUCAUCUUGAAUAUGUCCUGUUAACUCAUCCAUUACCAACGCAAAAAGGUAAGGACUUAAGGAUGAGCCUUGAUGUAAUCCUACAGUUAUGGGAAAGCUUUCGGUUUGUCCUUCAUGAGUUCUUACGGCAGUCUUUGCUCCUUCAUACAUAUCCUUUAUAGCUUGGAUAUAUGCUACUCGUACUCCUUUCUUCUCUAAAAUCCUCCAAAGAAUGUCUCUUGGGACCCUAUCAUACGCUUUUUCCAAAUCUAUAAAGACCAUGUGUAAAUCCUUUUUUCCCAUCUCUAUAUCUUUCCAUCAAUCUUCGUAAGAGAUAGAUUGCCUCCAUGGUUGAGCGCCCUGGCAUGAACCCGAAUUGGUUGUCCGAAACCCGUGUCUCUUGCCUCAAUCUAUGCUCAAUGACUCUCUCCCAGAGCUUCAUUGUAUGACUCAUUAGCUUAAUACCCCUAUAGUUCAUGCAAUUUUGUACGUCGCCCUUAUUCUUGUAGAUAGGCACCAAAGUGCUCGUUCGCCACUCAUUUGGCAUCUUCUUCGUUUUCAAAAUCCUAUUGAAAAGGUCAGUGAGCCAUGUUAUACCUGUCUCUCCCAAAAGUUUCCACACUUCGAUUGGUAUAUCGUCUGGGCCUAUUGCUUUUUUAUGCUUCAUCUUCUUCAAAGCUACAACCACUUCUUCCUUCCGGAUUCGACGAUAAAAAGAGUAGUUUCUACACUCUUCUGAGUUACUCAACUCCCCUAAAGAAGCACUCAUUUCAUGUCCUUCAUUGAAAAGAUUAUGAAAAUAACCUCUCCAUCUGUCUUUAACCGCGUUCUCUGUAGCAAGAACCAUUUCCAUCCUCAUCCUUGAUGCACCUCACUUGGUUUAGGUCCCUUGUCUUCUUUUCCCUUGCUCUAGAUAGUUUAUAGAUAUCCAACUCUCCUUCUUUGGUAUCUAGUCGUUUAUACAUAUCGUCGUAAGCCGCUAACUUAGCUUCUCUGACAGCUUUCUUCGCCUCUUGCUUCGCUUUUUCUAUACCUUUCACCAUUUUCAUCGGUCCUCUCCUUGUAUAAGGCUUUACAACAUUCCUUCUUAGCCUUCACCUUUGUUUGUACCUCCUCAUUCCACCACCAAGAUUCCUUUUGGUGUGGGGCAAAGCCCUUGGACUCUCCUAAUACCCUCUUUUGCUACUUUUCGGAUACAACUAGCCAUGGAAUCCCACAUUUGGCUAGCUUCCCCCUCUCUAUCCCACACACAUUGGGUGAUUACCUUCUCUUUGAAAAUGGACUUGUUUUUCUUCUUUUAGAUUCCACCAUCUAGUCCUUGGGCACUUCCAAGUCUUGUUCUUUUGUCUUACUCUUUUGAUAUGUACAUCCAUCACCAACAAGCGAUGUUGAUUAGCCACGCUCUCUCCAGGUAUAACUUUGCAAUCCUUACAAGUUAUACGAUCCCCUUUCCUCAUUAGAAGAAAAUCUAUUUGUGUUUUUUGACGACCCACUCUUGUAGGUGAUCACAUGUUCUUCUCUCUUCUUAAAGAAGGUGUUGGCUAAGAAGAGAUCAUAUGCCAUUGCAAAAUCCAAGAUAGCUUCCCCAUCCUCGUUUCUCUCCCCAAAACCAUGGCCACCAUGAAAACCUCCAUAGUUGCCUGUCUCCCUGCCCACGUGUCCAUUUAAAUCUCCUCCUAUAAAUAACUUCUCCGUCUGAGCAAUUCCUUGCACCAAGUCUCCAAGAUCUUCCCAAAAUUUCUCCUUCGAACUCGUAUCCAACCCUACUUGAGGUGCGUACGCACUAAUCACAUUGAUAAGUUCUUGUCCUAUUACAAUCUUGAUUGCCAUGAUUCUAUCUCCUACCCUCUUGACAUCUACAACAUCUUGUACCAAGGUCUUGUCCACGAUGAUGCCAACACCGUUUCUCGUUCUAUUUGUGCCCGAAUACCAAAGUUUAAACCCUGAGUUUUCUAGAUCCUUUGCCUUACUACCAACCCACUUAGUUUCUUUGUAGGCACAUAAUAUUUAUCCUUCUCCUCACCAUAACUUCCACUACUUCCAUAGAUUUUCCCGUUAAGGUUCCUAUAUUCCACGUUCCUAAACGCAUUUUGCUCUCUUGAACUCUACCCUUCUGUCCUAGCUUCUUCACCCUCCCCCGUCUAAUAGGAUCAAAGUACUUCUUUUGUGUGUCCCGGGUAAAGUUGAUAGGAGCAUAUGCUCCCAAACAACUUUGAGUGGAGUCGUUCGAAAAGAAGUUUCUAUGGCCCCCUUGCUCAUUUAACACUGCAUCCGGGUGCCGAUGGAGAUACAGCGACCCUUGCUCACUUAUCACUGUGCUCGGGCCACACAGCGCGCCACUUACGGGUGACGCCCUAGCUUUAGCGUGAUUUUGUUCUGGAUUCAUUUUCAUAAGGAUUCGACGUGAUCAUGGAGUGCCGGCUGUCGACUACCUGAUGCAUAGACUAAAAAGAAAAUAUGCAAAUUCCAAAAGUUGGAAACAGUUGCUGACUGUACAUGCUACUGAGAAAGCAUGCAAUUAAAAAAAUCAACGGUUGAACGUGACCUACACAUAAAGACAUGUUAAGAAAAAUAGAAUUUUUAGACUCAUCAGGUAAACUGGACACAUAUUUCACGUAAUUACAUUGUUAUGCCCUGUGCCAUAUUAAAUAAAACAACAGUAGUUAUUGUUUAUUGUUCCACAGCAUGGUGUAUAGUGCAUGACACAAUCACAGUUUUGGACAGUCAUUGAGAGUAAUUUAGUGAACUGGCAUAAAUAAAAGAAAGGACAUGGUAAAUAACUCCACAAGUUUCCCUAGAAGAUCAAAGAUUAAAAAUUUACCUUAUCUGACUUGGACUUUUUUCCCGUAACAAUCUGGAAUAUACGAAGGCCCCGGCUGAAUGCUUCAUUAAACAAUAUCCUAGUCUGCAUAGACUGAAAACCAGGAAACCAUGAUAAUACUGCCACAGGUGUCAUUACAAUCACCCCAAACAAUAUAUCAUACAGUCGAGCCACAGAAACAACCGCCGCCCACAGUAUAGUGCGCUGUAGACAGGGCCGAAAUACUUGUGCUAUCAACACCAAUCCCCACCCAGUCGGAACGAAUGCCAGAAGACUAGUGAAAAUAUCCAUGAACUUGAACUCGGUGAAUUCCAGCAGGGCAAUCAUAACAAUUAAUCCAAGUUUUAUGACAAGAAAUUGCACCAGCCGAUAGUAAAUGUGAUCUUUUGAGGCAUAUCUGUCCCGAGCAUAUGCUAUCACCACAAAAAUGCCAAAAGCCACAAACACAAAGAUCCAAGACAACAAGUAAACAGCAAUACUGGUACUUCCAGCAGCAAUACCAAGCUGGUAUACAAUCCCAUAUUGGAAAAAGAAGAAGCGCAGGUCUAAAAUUAUCUCUAGAAACUUUCCCCAGAGGCCAGUGGUCCUUAGAUGAUCUUGCUCAUACCACCAUCUUUCCCAGCUCUGUUCAGCUUUUGCGAAGACACUGCCACGAUACCAAAUCCAGGUCAUGAAGUCAUCAAAGUCAUCUACAGUCUUCAACCAAUCAAAGCCAGAAGGAUUGAAAACGAAGGGGGCCAUAAACCAUGACACGACCAGGAACCAACUCGUGAUGGUCAUGCCUAUGUAAAUAAAAGUGUCCUUAGCUACAGGACUAUGCGAUGCAUAAACAAUAAGUAUCAACCCUAGUUCAAUUGCUUUCACAAAAUGACUACGAGCAUAGAGCCUAUAAUUCUCUGCAAAACUUUUGUGCUGCACAACAAAGCCACGUCCAGUUGCACGAUACUUUGCACCACCAUGAAGAAUAGUUCGCCCAAAAAAGUGGGUACGAGUUCCCAUUGAGAAUGUGUAGAAAACUGAUGAAAGCUGGAGCUGCAUCGUCAAGAAAUCCCAAAUAGCAUGAAGGAAUCCAUGUUCAAGGGAAUUCUCCACUAUCAUUGGAAGGGCAGUGAACACACCAAGUUGGAUAAUGAACUGCUGAUUCAAGACUGUAGCAAGUGCUCUGUUAGUAGAAUCAUUUCCCAAUAUAGAACCUUCAAGACCACUAAGAGCCAGAUAAAGCCGGCCCCAUAGAAAUGUAUACACAGUAAGAACAACAACCAUUGUAUUAAAAAAGAAUCCCACUGUAGUGUAAAAGAAUGAUAGCAUCCGCAAGAAAUCCAGCCUGUGACCCAAUCUAUAGACAUCUCUGCUAAGAAUUUGUUCCCCGUUCCCACUAGCAACCUUGGCCUCAAACAUGGAAAUUUGAUUGAAUCCCACAUCCCUUCCCUUGCCGACUUGAAUGUAUUCAUGGUGUGUGACAUUUCCACCCCGCAACGUACAAUUAAAGCCAGCAAAAAUGUCUUCACUGAUGUUAAUGACCCUGGAAGCUUUACUGAUGCCACCUCGAGUCAAGAACCAAAAUCUGUCAAACACAUCUGGAUGACCAUAAUGCAUUCUAAUUUUCAAGGGGUUCGCCAACACCCGUUGCCCCAAGGUGACAAAACUUGUUUCUUGAGCUGACAUAAACCAGGCAAGUGAUGAGACGGAACCAGUAAAAAUAUGCUCUCUGACUCCCAAGAUAGUAGGCUUCCGGAUGCCAUAAUAGUGCCUGUACUCUUCCAAUAGAUUCCGCAUUUUGAGUGCCUCCUCAAAAUAAUUGUCUUGGUUCAUAUCAAUCGUCUGAACUGCAUCACCACGAGUGAAGAUAAUGGCAUGAUUUUGAUUCUCUGGUUUUCCCUCUCCGAGCUUCAUUGGACCAGGCAACUUUAUGCGGUAGAUUUCCACCUCCUUCUCUAAUUUCUGAUCAUACUUCACAAGAACAGAAUAGUACUCCUUCUCAUUCCUGCCAGUUGAAACCUCAUCAAGAUAUGCAACUCGAAGUGCUUCGUUGUUUUGCAUCAAAUACAAAAUUUCAUCAGCAUGGGGAUCUUUUUUCACUUUUUGUGUUCCGUAUAUCUGGCAUGCAACCACAUAUGUAAAUUUCAUCAAAGCAGUUCCAUAUUCAUGACCUUUGUACAAUGAGUCCACACAACUGCUUGUUCUAGUUAAACUUAGGGAAGAAGGUGACCUCUCAGAAGUCAAUCUGUCCAAGCCAAUGUCUUGCAUCGUGGAACCAGGUUCUUGUGAUCCUUCCCGAAUGUCCAUCUCGGAUGCAGAAUCCAGAAAAGCCAACAUCUUCAGAGCCCGAUAGUAGUACAUCAUUCCCCUUACGGUCCUUGUAAGUGUUUGGCCUCUGUAAGAAGCCCAGAGCCUGAGUUCUCUCAACUUAGUUGACCAUAUUUCAUCAUCACUCCCCAUUCCUUCUCUGCGCAUCCUCUCCAUAAAAUUUUUCCACUCGUCAACAUAAAUUGUCUGUAAAUAAUACAGGGUAGAAACCCCAUCUUCAUUCUCCGUACGUAGUUGUUCUUUGUUGUACAAUACUUCUUCACUGUAGUACGGGGUCAGCACACUGAAGGCCAUCAUUUUCUCAACUUGAGGUGCAUGGGGUAUGUUCAUAAACAAGGAGUUACUGAAGAAGGCAAUUCUGCGUCUUGCCUCAAGGUUAACUGGGAUAUUCUGCAUUGAGUCCCGAGAGGUAAGUAUUGUGUGCAAGCGCCUAACCUGCCUAUAGAAGAAUACAUUGUUAGGAUCAGGCAACUCAACAGCAUUUUCAAAAAGCAGCCCUGCAGCAGAACCUGGAUUACGAGGGGCCAAACCAUCCUCCAUCAGCUGCUCAGUACUUCUUUUUUCCUUGAAAAAAUCUCGAAUGGCAAUCUCAUAAAGGGCCUGCAGAGUAUUUACCACCUGGUUUGUGUCUUGCUUGGGUUUUUUCAAAAGCUCAACAAGUUUGAUCAACUUGGCAUGCAGCUCUGGAAGCGCCGUCGUUUUAAAUGUUUUCGUGAACUUCUCAAUCUCAAGAGAGUGAUCAAUUUCCUGAAACAAGACUGUCAUAAUGGAAUGUUCUUCUGUGUUGCGUUUGAUGAUGUCAAGUAGCAAGUGCUUGAUGCAACCAUAAGCUUCUAUAACAGCGCAGCGCCUGUACUCAUUCUUGCAUAUCUUAUACCAGAGCCACUUAUCAGGAGCAUCUACUAACUCUUUGGCCUGACUAAGUGCCAGCAGCAGUUCAUUGCAAAGAAGAAAACAAGGCCACCGAAUAACCCUGAUAUUCCAAGAAUUUUGUGGCAGCUCUAACAGCUCAAGCUCGCUGUCAGAAAUUAUAUCUUCUUCCCUGAAGAUCAAAAUGAUCUCAUUCCAUAUCAAAGCAAACCUGGUUGCCUCAACCUGGUUGGAUUCGAGCUUCUUAUAAGGCCGUCCAAGCCCAUACCUCAGCUUCAACCGGUGGAUGGCAUCAUUAAACUUACUCCUCAGAGUUCCCCUUGCAUUUAACAGUUGCUCUUCUGGCAUGAGAUUAAAUUGAAUUGCACCUGCAAAGAACUGGAAUCUUAGCCUCAAUUGCCCGAUAUUUCGUAUCUCGCCCAAAUGUGCAAACAAGCCCACUCCUGCCCCCACAAGAGAGGAGUAAAUGGAAUAAAACAGCUGCAAAUCCAUGAGGUAUAUCAAAACGACUGGAAGCCACAGCAAUCCCACUGCAAAUUUGUUGCUGUUGCCAAAAAACUGAUGCCACUCAUAGUUCACAUUAUUAAGUUUUAUGAGUUCUUUUGACGGGCGAAUCAGGGGUUUGAUCUGCAUGAAGUAGCUGAAAGAAAAUUUCGUAGCAAGCACGAAAAUCCAGAACAAACUGUACUUUAUAUUGUCCACAAGGCCUUCUCUCAAGCCACGGCCAACAAAAGUUCUGCUUUGAAACCACCACGAUAACAUGUAAAAUAUCUUCCAGUUUGUGUUCUCAAGAAAAUUCCGAACCCAAGGAAGAAUAAAGAGGACCAAAGCCAAAAGCUCUGGCAGGAUGAAAACUACUGCCACCGUAAGAAAAUUCACCACCCGAUUAUUUGCCUCGGUGGACCACCUCCGAUCCUGAUUUCUCUGCGUCCAUAUCCUCCCAUAGAACACCCCAAAAACAACAAUCCACAGGGCAGCAACUAUGCUCUUCAACACCAUCCUCACUCCGAGCCCCAAAGUCUCCCUCGAAACCAGACUAUACUGCAUUCCCACAUCAAGCAACGACUGCAAAAACCUCAAACCAGCCCAAGUGAAAAACACAGUCAAAACCUUGACCUGCACUUCCCUCUCCUCCAACGCCUGCCAUGGAAACUCCCUCUCCUCCCAAGCAACAAUAAUAGCGGCCUGGAGGAACAUAAUCAACAUGAUCCAGAGCUUGUCGAAGCUCCGAAACAAGUUCCAAAAGGACCUCUGCUCCACAAACCCAGUCUUCCCCACAUGCCUACUCCUACUAGAAGUCACAAAAAAGUUACUCCCAACAUCGACAGGCCACCUGAGCUUGUCAAAACACCUCUUACUCCAGAAAUACUCAUUGAUAUCAUCAUAGUUCCUCCACACACUAUGAGGGGCAGUCCCAUUCUUGCUGCUCUCCACCUCGGCUCGAAUCGUCUCGUAUAUGGGCUUCACAACACUAUUCAAGAACGCAUUCUCCCCCGACGUCGACGGCAUCACGGGCUGACCCGUCUCCUCAUCAAUAUAAUCCUCCAAGAUCUUGUUCAAUUCCAUGGCCAUGUUAUGAAAAAUAAAGCACAAGCACUCGGGGACAAACCUCAGAUUCGCCGCCUCGCCCCAGAUCAGCAGGUACAGUGACACGUACAGCAGCUCCCGGCGCUGGUCGGCGGCGGUAUCACGCCUCCGGUCGGAGAUCCAAAUAUUGGACUUCUUCCCCAAAUAGGAGCACCAGCUGGUGUAAUUCUUGAGCAGCUUUUUCCGGAACUUCCUCAAAACGCCGCCGUCGAGUGUGUCGAUGUUGUCCGGGGGAGGGUUGAGGCGCAUCUGAGCGUUGGCGAGGUGGAGAACUAUGUGCUCGCGCUGGUUGCGGACGUUGUCGUACUGGAAGCCGAAGAAGAGGGCGAGCCAGUCGAGGAGGUCCAUGUGGGGCUGCCAUUGGGAGUAAGGGGGACGGCGGAGGUUGCCAACGGCGCGUAGGGAGGCGGCGGCGGCGCGUACCUCUGGGAAACGGAGGGAGGGGUGGUCGGCGAGGAGGUCGUGGACGGGGAUGAUAUUGUAGGGCUCCGAGUCGGGGUCGGAGGAGGAGGAUUGAGUACCCCGCUGGAUACUCAUGGCAUGGAGGAUUGGAAGAAGGGCGUAGCACGGUGGGUGUGUGUGUUCGGCGGUGGUAUUAGGUUUGCUUAUUUUUUCUGGGUUCUGAUGAGGGGAGAGAGGGGGGGAGACAGCUGGGGGAGAUGGAUGUAACGUGCACAAGGAAUUGCACAGAGAAAAAGAGAGUGUGCGGCUAAAGGGCCGAAAAGGAAGGUGGGGGGCGCGUUAACGUCGUUUCCUUGCCGUUUCCUUUUCUAGUCGUUGCUUUGACCAGUUUACGGCCAUUUCAAAAUUCUUGGAUCUUUCCGUUUGAAAUGUUAUUUGAAUCCGGUGAAAUCAUUUUUGGGCUAAGUUUGGGUUGACCGGGUGACAGAUUUUUAAGUUUAAAUUCAAACGGAUUUCAUGUAACGUUAAUAAAGAGUUCCCACAGAAUGCUAGAAAAGAAUGAUUAUAGGCGAAUCCGAAUCAUAUUAUUAUUAAUUUAGUAUGAGGUUAAACUCACUUAUUUCUUUUAGUGUAGAUAAUAUUUUUUAUUAAAAAAAAUUACUAUAUGAGCGUCCCAAAAACAUAAAAUUUGCAAAUUUCUAUUUAGGAGUUAUUUACAAAUUACUUUAGGCUUCUUUUAUAUAAAAUGGUUUCUUAGAUUAAUAUAACUUCUCAUUUUGGUCAUUGAGAUUUGAAUCGAUAAAAAUGGUCCAUAAGUUUGUUCACCAUCAAUCAUUUUAGUUAUUUCAUGAAAAAUAUCCAUUAUCAGGGGUAUUUUUAUCAUUUCGAUUCUUAUUUAAUUGAAUUUUUCAUAGAAUCACCAAAAUAAUUGAUGGUGGAUAAACUUAGGACCACUUCUGUCUCAAAUCUUAGAAACUAAAUUGAAGAAUUAUGUCAAUCUCAUGGACCAUUAUGACUAAAAAUCCUUAUUUUUACAUUGUAAUACUUGUGGUGUACUUUUAAUAUCUCAUAUUUAAUGCCAAUUAGUAUUGCAAUUUAGUUAAGAGGUUUCUUGUUCAUUUACAUGGAUGGCGGUGACAUAUAAUAUUUGCAUUUAGUUAGAUACCUAGUUAUGGUCAGUCCAUAUGUAUUAGCUCAAUUUUCAUCCUUUUGUGUAAAAAUAUCAUUGUAUAAAAAAUCUCUCACAUCUAUCAUUUUGGAGUAUGACUUCAAUAUUGUAUAUCAAUCAAUGUUAUGCAUGUUUUAGCCGUUAGAUUUGAUUUCCACAACUUUUUAAAUAUUCUCAUUUUCAAUUUCAAUCAUUCGUUCUAAUAUCAUUCAAUACCACGCAGUACUACAAAAUUUCCAACAUAUUUUGUGAUCAAUCUAGUACUAAUUUAGAUUACUCACCCUAUCAAAUUGCCCCGCAACCCACUUUGGAACUUUCCAUACAAAAGAAAUUCCAAAUUAUAUAUAACUACAUAGAGAACCAAGAACACACAAAAAAGGACUUUUCUCAACCAAUUUAGGGGGGUGUAUUUAAUUGGGAUUUUGAGGGAUUUUAAUUCUUUUAAUGAAUCUAGAGGUAUUCAAUCAGGAUUUUAAGUGAUUAUCUGAAAUUCAAGGUGUAUUCAAUUAGAAUUUUAAGAGAGUUUAUUAAAAUCCUUAGAAAUCUGGGUGUAUUCAAUUAGAAUUUUAAAGAAGUUUAUAACAUUCUAAGUGUAUUCAAUUAGAAAUUGAUUUUAAAGAAUUUGAGAAAGUUGAGGAAUUAGAGGGAAUUGGAGAGAUUUCUUAUUGUAUUUUAAGUAUCCACAAAUCUCACAUCUCCCGAUGAGAUUUCAAGAGAAUUGAAUCAAAAUUUUAUAUGGAAUCUCUACAAAUCAAUUAAACUCCAUAAAAAUCCAUGGAUUUAUAAAUCCAUUAAAGUCUCUCAAAUUCUCAAUUGAAUACACCCUUCUUAAAUGUAAAUUGCUCGUAAAUGAUUUUGUAAUCGAUCUCACAAUUAACAUUAAUUGGCUUUUUAAUUAAAAUAGUCCGAUGAUUUGAAUCUAGUACAAGAAGAAAAUGCUGUUAGACUAGAAGGUUUUAUUUAUAUUUUUGGGUCAAGGGAAAGAAGGGAACCUUCUCUGUGUCCAGACUCCAGAUAAGAAAAUGCUAUUUUCCUUCUUUUUAGGCAGCUUCCCACUCGCAUGAAACGCGGCCGUUUGGGAUUUAAGUACGCGCUUCGUCGCUGUGGUAGGCGAGCGGCCAAACGCCAGCGCCAACCUCUAUAUCAGAUGUACACAUCUACAUAAUCCAACAUUAAUUUCGUUUUAUAUUUUACCUAUUUCCGAAGGUCAAACGCGUUUCGUACUCAAUAAGAAAAAGAAAUUUCAAUUGAAAGGUUAGUCGGGAUAUUUUUCACAUUUGGGUUUUGGUGCUUUUAAGAAAAGUUUUAUUUAGGAGAAAUUAGGUUUACAUCUUUCUUUUUUAUACUCUAUUAAUUAAAAUCCUAUUCAUUUUUAAUUUUUUAUCAAGGUCAUUGGGUAUUAAUAAUAUCAUUAAUUAUUUGAAUAAUAAAAUAUUUUUAUUUUUAAAUAUAUUCCUUUGGUGUUAAAAGUGGUACAAUUAGUAUAUUUAUAUUUAUAUUUAUGGCUAAAUUUUUUAUCAUAUAUUUUUAUUUUUAGUUUGUACCUAUUUUUAAUUUGUUCCAAUUUUUUUUUUCAUUUUUAAUUUGUACCCAUAUAUUAGUUUCUUUUUGUGCCCAUAUUUUUUUAAAUUUUAUUUGUGUUUGUACUCAUAUGUAUACCGUUACGUCACAUUGUAUAUUUAAUCAAUAAUAGAAAAAUUACAUAUGAUAUAUUUAUGUUUUAUGCCUAAACUUUGUAUCAUAUAUUUAUAUUUUUAGUUUGUACCCACUUUUAAUUUGCAACAUUUUUUUAAAUUUGUAGUAUUUCUUUUUAGUUUUAUUUUGUACCCAUGUAUUAAUUUCUUUUAGCGCCUAUAUUUUUUAAAAUUUUAUUUGUUCUCAUAAUUUUUUAUCUUUUAUAUGUACCCUAAUUUAUUUACAAUGUACCCAUUCUUCUUUAUUAAUGUACCACUUUGUUAUAUGUGAAUGUACCAAUUUUUUUUGUAAAAUGUACCAAUUUUUUAACACUAUGGAUACAUUCUUUUGCCAUUUAUUAUUCUUAUUUUUACAUUAUUUUUAUCCAUUUAUUCAAUCAAAAUGUUUGAAUUUUUUUAUUGUAACCAUUUCUAAUAGUAUUAUAAUGAGGGAUUUUAAAUUUAUAGGACUAUAGAUCUCAUAAAAUAUCAAACAAUUAAUGUCAAAACUAUAAAAAUAUAAAUAUUAAUUGUAAUAUAAUGAGGUGUACAAAGUCAAUGGACUUUAAUCAAACUUUGAAUAUCAUUAAAGUUUUAGUCAAAGAAUGUUAAGGAUUAAGGACCGCAUCCAAAGUAUCCCUUUUAUUUAUUUAUUUUGUGUUUAGUUGGGAUUAGAUUCCAAAGUGUUUUGCGUGCAUGAUUAACGGUGCAAUGCUAUCUGACGUUAUGUUACAAAAGCAAUUGAGGUCAGUACAAGUUCUUUAUGUUCAUCAUGAUGGGCUAGGUUUUUUUGUUUCGAGAGAAUGUGACCUUUAUAUAGAUAGGAUUGUUUUAACUUUAAGUCAGGGUGAUUGUAUAAUAUUUUGGUUGCUGAUGUAAACGUUUUUAUCCAAAUUUAAUGAAAUUUUAUGUCGUUUAAAAUAAAAAAAAAGGUCACUAUAGAAGGAACAACAUGACUCCACUUUUAGCAAUAUCAUAAUCAAAGAAGAGGUGUUAUAUAUUUUCAAUGUAAUUGUUGCACAUAGGACACAUAGUGUCAGUUUUGGGGAAAAUAAUUACUCAAUCUUUCUCUAGUCUGAAGCCUUUCUCUAAAACAAAGCCAACCAAUGAAACAUUAUGAUUCCAAAAUUUGUUUAAAUCCUUUUGCUUUUUGAGGAAUAUUAAGAUUCUAAAGUUUGUUUGAUGCUUUUGCUUUAGGGUGAGCUUGAUCAUUAUUAGUCUCAAUUUCAAGUUGCAGAUUUUACAAAAAGAAGAAACCGUUAGGACUAGGUCCCCACAUAAACUCAUAAAUCCAGUUUUUAAUUUUUGUACAUAGGUAUUUUAGUUAAAGUGGUCUUUGAGAUUGGUUUCUCACUUUAGUGAUUUAGUCCUUAAAAUUUGAAAUUCAAAGAAGUUGUCACUAAGUUUGUCUACUGUCAAUUAUUUUGGCUAUUUUGAAAAAAAAUCUCUUUUAAAUAAGGAUCAAAAUAACAAAAAAAACAACCUUCAAUUUAAUAAACAAUGGGAAAAAAUGAUUUGACAAAAGGUAUUUUUUGUUGCGACAUAUGUUCUUAUCAACAUGUGAUUGUAUAAAUCCUAAGUAGAGAUAUAAUAGGAAUCCUUUGGGAUUUAUAAGAUAUUUCCUAAUAGACUUUGAAUUACUUGGAGAGCAAGUUUCUCUCCUCCUUAUAGUAUAAAGGCAUGAGAAAUUAACACACAAUUCCUCAAGUCUAUUUUCCAAUCUCUUUCUCUUCCCUUUGCCGCACCUCUCUACUAAAUAUAGGCCACAACAUUUUUAUCAUUUUUCUUUCUUUAACAUAGAUUUUUUUAUAGAGUUACCAAAAUGAUUAACGGUGGACAAACUCAUGGACCACUUUUAUUGAUCUUAAAUUUCAUAAACCAAAGUGAAGAGUUAUGUCAAUUUCAUUGGACUAUUUUGAAUAAAAAGCGAUAUAUAUUGUUGUGGCCUAUAUUUAACUGAUAGAUGAAGGGGGCCAACAGAGUUGUGUAGAUGAUAUAUUAUUCCCCUACGCAAUGCUUUUCUUUAUAGUAAUAAGAGAUAGAAGAAAUUAUUCUCCUCCAAUGAAUACAAAUCAUAAUAGGGAAGAAUAACUAGAAUCAAAUUUAAUCUAGGAUUUACAUAAUCACACUUAAAUAAGAAAUUUAUAAUAUACAUACAUACAUUGAUUUUGGUUUUCAUUAAAACAGUUAUCAAACAAGUUUGUAUUUAAAAUACAAAAAAAUUAAGAACUGAAAAAUAAAAUGCUAUAAAACUGCCCUAAAUUAACUUCUGGAUCGAGACUCAUUCAAUCAUGUUUUGGACUUGGUAUAGGUCGACAUUGCAAGCUCAGCCACUUCACCAAGACUACUUCGAUUAAUUGCCAUUUGGAUGGACACAUGCAAUACCUACCCACUAAAGACUUUGUCAAAUUAAUGUGACAUUAGAAAUCUUAACCAUGGUUCAUUAUCUUAAUUUUCAAUAAUUUAAUACAAAGAAGAAAGUAGCAACGGUCUUUUAAUUUUAACACAAUUAGAACAAUGGUUUCUUAACUAAAAAUGUUUGACCAUUUGUCUCUUAACUUAUCAAAACGUGAGCUAUAGUCAUUUUCAUCAACUUCGUUAGAACUUCCGUCAAAAUGAGUCAAGUUCGUAGCACGUAAGGCUGAAUUUAAGGGCAAAUAUAAAAAAGCAAAUGAGAAAAAUUGUAGCACUGUCCCUCAACUUUAACUCAAUUAGAGAAAUACUCCAACAACUUUAACUCAAUUGGAGCAAUGAGUUUGUAUACCGUCAAUUAUUUUGGCUAUUUUGGAAAAAAAUAUCUUUUAAUUAAGGAUAAAAAAAAAACAACCUUCAAUUUAAUAAACAAUGGAAAAAAAAUGGAAAAAAAAUGAUUUGACAAAAGGUAUUUUUUGUUGCGACAUAUGUUCUUAUCAAUAUGUGAUUGUGUAAAUCCUAAAUAGAGAUAUAAUAGGAAGCCUUUGGGAUUUGGAAGAUAUUUCCUAAUAGACUUUGAAUUGCUUGGAGAGUAAGUUUCUCUCAUCCUUAUUUAUAUAAAUAAAGGCACAAGGACUGAGAAAUUAACACACAAUUCCUCAAGUCUAUUCUUCAAUCUCUUUCUCUUCCCUUUGCCGCACCUCUCUACUAAAUAUAGUCCACAACAUUUUUAUCAUUUUUCUUUAUUUAAUAGAGAUUUUUUUAUAGAGUUACCAAAAUGAUUGACGGUGGACAAACUCAUAAACCACUUUUAUUGAUCUUAAAUUUCAUAAACCAAAGUGAAGAGUUAUGUCAAUUUUAUUGGACUAUUUUGGAUAAAAAGCGAUAUAUAUUGUUGUGGCCUAUAUUUAACUGACGGAUGAAGGGGGCCGGUGACACAGAGAGAGAAUAGAGAGAGAUGUAUUUGUAAAGUUGUGUAGAUGUUGUGUUAUUCCCCUACGCAAUGCCUUUUUUUAUAGUAAUAAAAGAUAGAAGAAAUGAUUCUCCUCUAAGGAAUAUAAAUCCUAAUAGGGAAUAACAACUAUAAUCAAAUCUAAUCUAUGAUUUACAUAAUCACACUUAAAUAAGAACUUUAUAACAUACAUACAUACAUAGAUUUUUGGUUUUCAUUAAAACAGUUAUCAAACAAGUUUGUAUUUAAAAAAAAAAAAAAAGAACUGAAAAUUAAAAUGCUAUAAAACUGCCCUAAAUUAACUUCUGGAUCGAGAAGGUCUAAAAUAUCGAUAUUAUCCCAAUAUUUCCAUCGAAAUUUCUGUAUUUUUGGACUACCGAUAUUUCCGAUAUCAUCGAUAUUUUAGACCUUGAUAGGAACUCUACGUGGUACUAAGUCACUCAUGUAUCUUACCAUGCAAUGUAUAAAGUGUAAAAUAUUGUACAAAUUCAUUAUAUAUAAAUGAUUAUGGUGUAUUUAAACUUCUUUCAUUAAUUACUACAUAUUUUCUACACUCACAAUGUUUGCCAGCUCGCUAUAUAAUCAACUUAAAUCAGUUAAAUCCAUCAUGCAAUGCAUUUCCUUCCAAUUUUUUGUGAUAAACUAAUAGAUAAUUGACUAAAUAAACAUCAUGUAAAGUUUCAAUAAAAAUUUCCAAGUUUUUCUUAUAGUUUCCGUGGUUUUUAUUAAAUUUUUAUCAAUAUCGAUAAUAUUCCGAUAUUUCCAUAUUUUUGAACUACCGAUAUUUUCGAUAUCAUUGAAAUUUUAAACCUUCUAGACUCAUUCAAUCAUGUUUUAGACUUGGUAUAGGUCGACUUUGCAAGCUCAACCACUUCUCCAAGACUAAUUCGAUUAAUUGCCAUUUGGAUGGACACAUGCAAUACCUACACACUAAAGACUUUGUCAAAUUAAUGUGACAUCAGAAAUCUUAACCAUGGUCCAUUAUCUUAAUUUUCAAAAAUUUAAUACAAAGAGGAAAGUAGCAACGGUCUUAUAAUUUUAACACAAUUAGAACACUGGUUUUUUAACUAAAAAUGUUUGACCAUUUGUCUCUUAACUUAUCAAAACGUGAGCUAUAGUCAUUUUCAUCAACUUCGUUAGAAUUUCCAUCAAAAUAAGUCAAGUUCGUAGCACGUAAGGCUGAAUUUAAGGGCAAAUAUAAAAAAGCAAAUGAGAAAAAUUGUAGUACUGUCCCUCAACUUUAAUUCAAUUGGAGCAAUGAUUCAUCAACUCUAACCCAAUUGUUACAAUGGUCAUUAUAACAUGACUCAUUUUGACAAAAUUAAGACAUAUUUGACAAAAAUGAUCAUAACUGCAUGUUUUGAUGAGUUAACAGACCAAUAAUCAUGAAUUUUUAGCUAAGAGAUCAUUGCUACAAAUUUUUCUAAUACAAACUAUAAGACUUAGUUGACUGGACCACAGAUCCAUAUCAACACACCACUUUCACUUAUUAAUAUUUAUGAUAAAUAUCUAUUUGGCCACCAAUCCCAAUUUAUUAAGAAAAGAGGUGGACAAUAUCUAAAGUAGUAAAAAGAAUAUUUUCCCAUAGAAUCUUCUGGAGUGACCUCAUACAUUGAGAAAAUUCAAAAUUUGGCUUUUUUCAGAAUUCUGCAUGCACUUACCCGUAGUAUUCCAAGAACAAAAAGAAACAACAAAAGAGAAGAAAAAAAGCAACAAUAUCUUCCAUGUUAAUUGUCGUUUUUCUACAACUUAGCUCUUGCAGAUACGCAUGGUUAAGGCAAGCCAAUUUGUCAGAUAGGAUGUUUGUUCAAUUCUAGUGAAAUUUGUAUUUUUAUGUAGUCUAGAAUAUCGUCUCGUUCAUAAAAAGCUCUCAUGGUAUCAAAAUAAAAAGUUAUAAUUAUUUUAAGGUUAUGUUUGGGCCAAGACUUCCAAACUUUUAGAAAUUUCGGUUAAAUAAGAAAGAAAUAGAGUAAACAAGUGUUAGAUAUUCAGAGAGACGGACAACUGACCUAUCCCUAAACUAGCCCAUUUCUAACCACAUCAAUAUUGGCUCAAUAUAGUGUUGGGUUUUGGACUUUAUUACAACAAACCGCGGUGUUAUUAUGAGUAGCAUCAUAUACUUAUAUAUUGUAUUUUAUUUUCUCAAUUUCUCGAUGUGAAACUCAUAUUCAAGAAAAGGUGAUUAGAGGCCCACUAUAUAGUAGGCAUGCAUACGAGGUUUAGCGUUUUCAAGUAUUAAAUGUUUACAAACACACUACCAAAAAGUAUAUGUGGGCCUAUAACAAGCCCAAACAUUUUCAGAGGUCUGGUUUAUGCUAUCGGUUAUGAAGGAGUUCUUAGAGAUCAUCAGGGCUCUUGGAUUGGGGGAUUUUCAACUAAUAUGGAAGUAGGAGAAAUCCUUGAAGCGGAAUUGUGGGGUCUCUUUUUGGGUUUGAAAAUGACGUUGGAUAAAGGUGUUGGGAGGAUGCUUGUGGAAUCUGACUUUGCUGUUUUAGUGUCACUCUUUAUAUGUACUGUGCAUGAUAUAUCCCUUGGCUUAUUUGUUAUAUAGUUGUCAUCGCUGGAUUUCUCAAUUUGAUCAAUGUGUUUUGAGUCAUACAUGCAUAGGAAAAGGAAUAUGGUGGCUAAUGAUUUGGCAAGCUGAGUUUUUCUUUGGACUUGAACUGCAUUACGUUGGAUGACCCUCCUUCUUCAAUUGUUGGUUUACUUCUAUCAUUCCGGGGUUGGACUCCGGCCGUUUGUGUAAGCCCCUUGGGCUGGCGUUCUUCUUGGGCUUUGGGCCCCUAUGUAAUCGAAAAAAAUAACAAACACAAAUUAAUUAAAGGAAGUUUUAACAAAACACUUCCGGUACUGUUCACUUUUAACGAAAAAUCACAUUUUUCAUUUUCCUGAUAUUAUUCACUACACUUUCAUUUGUCAUUUCAUUAAAACUAAAGUUUUUUUGAACUUUUCAUUAGUUUUCUUUUAUUUUAAAAUGACAACCGAAAAGAAGCCAAGCCCAAAAGAAUGCGUUCAUCCCUCCCAAUUAACCAAACAAAAAUAACGCAUUUCAUGUUAUCACCAACGCUUUGUUCAUUUAGCUACAAGUCUGCUUGGGCUCGCACUUUGAUUACGACUUCUCUCCCUUCCUCGCGAUCUUAUCCGGGUAAUAAGGCGGACAACCGCACCAGUCCCAGUUCGGGGGCCCGUCAGGGCAGCGACACCAUCAGUUGCACCAAGAGAGAGAGAAAUGGAGAAGACUGCAUGGAGCGAUUGUCGGAGCAAAGCUCGCAAAGCAAUCAACAAAGUAAAGAACAAGCAUGCCAAUAAAGACAUAACAUACUCGAUCACAAGCAAUCAAAAGUCAAAAAGCCAUUAGAUACUCUCUUAUAUUUCAGCGCAGAAACAGAAAGCUGCCGGCCACAAACCAUCACAAUCUAAUCUCAAAGUCGAGCCUCAUGAAAAAAUCAACAAAAAAAUCAACAAAAAAAUCAACAAAAUGCACCGCACCGGGGCCUUCAUCGCUACAAUUGCAAUCCAAUCAAACACACACACAUCCAACACCAACUUAACUUGCUAGACAAAGACGAGAGAUUGAAAGAAGAGAAACAUUAAAGUAUCGACAGGGCACGGAGAGGGAGAG